GCGGGGGCUCGUGCGGCGGGCCAGGCUAACCCAUUAGAUUAUACUAGCUCCUAUUGAUGUGCCAUACAUAUAUGUGGUACAAUCUCCACCAUAUUUAAACUGUCCGUCCAUGUAUACAAGCUACCAGUCUCGAAUAAUGGUCGGUUACAUCCCGUUUUAUGAGUCAGUUUUGUCGUUUUGUUGCUGAUAUGGAGCUACGAGAUAUUUACCUCCAUAGUCUGCUGUAUACUCGGCCUAACGAGCAGGACAACCCACCCUCAUGCACAAUAACCAUGUUCUCUGUGUACCAAGUUGAGAGGUCUUGCACCCAUACUGUCGGUUGCGUAGCUUGGCCUCGACCACCUCCGAUCAUUGCCUCCCUCCUUGUGGAUUGCGUACCCUAUUCUAGCCACCCCACACGUUUUUUGAGCAUUUCUGGCAUAAGAUGGAUGGCUUCCUUGAGGUGGUUGUUGCUGCUUGGGAUUCCGAGGAGCCGGAUCUGAACUCCUUUUAUCGUAUCUACUCACGCCUCAAGUUCAUGGCACGCCAUCGCCAAAGUUGGAGCACACGCUCCAUCGACAAUAUCUCUCUUCAUCUGCUGCGGUGCAAGAUAAGAGGCCCCUCUAGCUUGAGGAGGCAUGGCUGCGGCGCAAAUUGAAGAUGGCUUAUUUGGGGCUAGCCUCCCUUGAGUGUUCCAUCGCUCGACAACGGGUGCACUUCUCAUGGCUCCGCGAGGGGGGGGGGGGUGGAAGGGGACACUAUAACUUUGCUUUCUUUGAGAUCCAUGCGUCUCAUCGUAAGCAGAAAAACCAUAUCUUUCAGAUUCGUGUCAGUGAUAAGGUCAUCUCUGGCAAGGCGGCGAUGGCUGAGGCCGCAUUCCAUCACUUCUCCGACAUCGUUGGCUCGCCGAAUGCGCGGGAAGUGUCCCUCACUUUUGAGGUGUUUGGACCUUGAUACUUGAGAGAACUAACUUUCACGGAAACCAAAAGGUUCUUUGCAAUGUCCGAUGUAAGAGGGUGACCAGGUUUGCUUGGAUAUCUUGAUUGCAUGCACUAGAGAUGUAAGAAUUGCCCAAAAAGCUUUGGAAGGGCAAUAUCAGGGCCAUUUUAAGAAGCCAACCAUCAUUCUUGAAGCACUUGUAUUCCAUGUUCUCUGGAUUUGGCAUGCUUUCUUUGGCAUGCUCGGGUCUCACAAUGACAUCAAUAUGUUGCUGCGGUCUCCGUUGUUUGCUAAGUUGACUGAAGGAGAAGCUCCUCCUUCCAGCUACACUAUUAGUGGACAUCAUUAGAACAUGUGCCACCAUCAGUAGACGAUAUAUAUCCUCCGUGGGCUACAUUACUUGAGACCAUCUCUGAGUCAGUUGGUCAAAAAAGAUAUCACUUUACCCAAAGACAAGAAUGAGCUAAAAAGGAUGUGGAGAGGGCUUUUGGAGUGCUCCAAUCCCAUUUUGCUGUUGUUCAUAAAUAUGGUAAACAAUGGGAUUUAGAGACCUUGCGGGAGGUGAUGACAUAUUGUGUGAUCAUGCACAACAUGAUCAUGGAGGAUGAGGGUGAAGAUGUUCCCAGAGAUAUGAAAUUUGAGAGCAUGGGUGAUCGUAUCCAAUUUCUACACUGGAAAUUGUCUAUGUUUGAUGAGUUUGUUCAUAUGCAUCAUCAAAAUUAGCACCGGUCAACUCAUAAUAAGUUCAAGAAAGGUUUGGUUGAGCAUCUAUGGGUGAUUGAAGGAGACAACUGGAACAUAUGUGAAAGCUGGAUUCAAAUUUAAACUAUUUAUUUGAAAACUUAGUUAGAUUGUAAUAUUUAAAUUAUAAUUAUUAAUCUCACAUUUGAAUAUUUUGAAGGAAAUAUGCCCAAGAGGCAAUAAUAAAGUUAUGAUUUAUUUCCUUAUUUCAUGAUAAAUGUUUAUUAUUCAUGCUAUAACUGUAUUAGCCGGAAACAUAAUAAAUGUGUGAAUACAUAGACAAACAUAGUGUCACUAGUAUGCCUCUACUUGACUAGCUCAUUGAUCAAAGAUGGUUAAGUUUCCUAACCAUAGACAUGAGUUGUCAUUUGAUCAAUGGGAUCACAUCAUUAGGAGAAUGAUGUGAUUGACUUGACCCAUUCCGUACCUGCUCCCUUGUUGGAAAGUAGUUCGUCACAGAAACCUAUUCCUGUGACACCUACACCAAUUAGUGAGGAAGCUAAUAAUGAUGAUCAUGAAACUUCAGAUCAAGUUACUACCGAACCUCAUAGGUCAACCAGAGCAAGAUCCGCACCAGAGUGGUACGGUAAUCCUGUUCUGGAUGUCAUGUUACUUGACCAUGACGAACCUGCAAACUAUGAGGAAGCGAUGAUGAGCCCAGAUUCCGCAAAAUGGCUUGAGGCCAUGAAAUCUGAGAUGGGAUCCAUGUAUGAGAAUAAAGUGUGGACUUUGGUUGACUUGCCCGAUGAUUGGCAAGCCAUCGAGAAUAAAUGAAUCUUCAAGAAGAAGAAUACGCUGAUGGUAAUGUUACUGUCUACAAAGCUCAACUUGUUGCGAAAGGUUUUCGACAAGUUCAAGGAGUUGACUACGAUGAGACCUUCUCACCCGUAGCGAUGCUUAAGUCCGUCCGAAUCAUGUUAGCAAUUGCCGCAUUUUAUGAUUAUGAAAUUUGGCAAAUGGAUGUAAAGACUGCAUUCCUGAAUGGAUUUCUAGAAGGAGAGUUGUAUAUGAUGCAACCUGAAGGUUUUAUCGAACCAAAGGGAGCUAACAAAGUGUGCAAGCUCCAGCGAUCCAUUUAUGGACUGGUGCAAGCCUCUCGGAUUUGGAAUAAACGUUUUGGUAGUGUAAUCAAAGCAUAUGGUUUUAUACAGACUUUUGGAGAAGCCUGUAUUUACAAGAAAGUGAGUGGGAGCUUUGUAGCAUUUCUAAUAUUAUAUGUGGAUGACAUAUUGUUGAUUGGAAAUGAUAUAGAAUUUCUGGAUAGCAUAAAGGAUACUUGAAUAAGAGUUUUUCAAUGAAAGACCUCGGUGAAGCUGCUUAUAUAUUGGGCAUCAAGAUCUAUAAAGAUAGAUCAAGACGCUUAAUUGGACUUUCACAAAGCACAUACCUUGAUAAAGUUUUGAAGAAGUUCAAAAUGGAUCAAGCUAAGAAAGGGUUCUUGCCUGUAUUACAAGGUGUGAAGUUGAGUAAGACUCAAUGCCCGACCACUGCAGAAGAUAGAGAGAAAGUGAAAAGUGUUCCCUAUGCUUCAGCCAUAGGCUCUAUCAUGUAUGCAAUGCUGUGUACCAGACCUAAUGUGUGCCUUGCCAUUAUUCUAGAAGGGAGUUACCAAAGUAAUCCUGGAGUGGAUCAUUGGACAGCGGUCAAGAACAUCCUGAAGUAGCUGAAAAGGACCAAGGAUGUGUUUCUCGUUCAUGGAGGUGACAAAGAGCUCAUUGUAAAUGGUUAUGUUGAUGCAAGCUUUGACACUGAUCCGGAUGAUUCUAAAUCGCAAACCGGAUAUGUGUUUAUAUUAAACGGUGGAGCUGUCAGUUGGAGCAGUUCUAAACAGAGCGUCAUGGCGUGAUCUACAUGUGAAGCAGAGUACAUUGCUACUUCAGAAGCAGCGAAUGAAGGAGUCUGGAAGAAGGAGUUCAUAUCCGAUCUAGGUGUCAUACCUAGUGCAUCGAGUCCAAUGAAAAUCUUUUGUGAUAAUACUGGUGCAAUUGCCUUGGCAAAUGAAUCCAGAUUUCACAAGAGAACUAAGCACAUCAAGAGACGCUUCAACUCCAUCCGAGAUCAAGUCCAGGUGGGAGACAUAGAGAUUUCCAAGAUACAUACGGAUCUAAAUGUUGCAAACCCAUUGACUAAGCCUCUUCCACAAGCAAAACAUGAUCAGCACCAAGGCUCCAUGGGUGUUAGAAUCAUUACUGUGUAAUCUAGAUUAUUGACUCUAGUGCAAGUGGGAGACUGAAGGAAAUAUGCCCUAGAGGCAAUAAUAAAGUUAUUAUUUAUUUCCUUAUUUCAUGAUAAAUGUUUAUUAUUCAUGCUAUAAUUGUAUUAACCGGAAACAUAAUACAUGUGUGAAUACAUAGACAAACAUAGUGUCACUAGUAUGCCUCUACUUGACUAGCUCAUUGAUCAAAGAUGGUUAAGUUUCCUAACCAUAGACAUGAGUUGUCAUUUGAUCAAUGGGAUCACAUCAUUAGGAGAAUGAUGUGAUUGACUUGACCCAUUCCGUUAGCUUAGCACUUGAUCAUUUUUGUUUACUGCUAUUGCUUUCUUCAUGACUUAUACAUGUUCUUAUGACUAUGAGAUUAUGCAACUCCCGAAUACCGGAGGAACACUUUGUGUGCUACCAAAUGUCACAACGUAAUUGGGUGAUUAUAAAGGUGCUCUACAGGUGUCUUCGAUGGUACUUGUUGAGUUGGCAUAGAUCAAGAUUAGGAUUUGUCACUCCGAUUGUCAGAGAGGUAUCUCUGGGCCCUCUCGGUAAUGCACAUCACUAUAAGCCUUGCAAGCAAUGCAACUAAUGAGUUAGUUGCGGGAUAGUGCAUUACGGAACGAGUACAGAGACUUGCCGGUAACGAGAUUGAACUAGGUGUUGGGAUACCGACGAUCGAAUCUCGGGCAAGUAACAUACCGAUGACAAAGAGAACAACGUAUAGUGUUAUGCGGUUUGACCGAUAAAGAUCUUCGUAGAAUAUGUAGGAACCAAUAUGAGCAUCCAUGUUCCGCUAUUGGUUAUUGACCGGAGAUAGGUCUCGGUCAUGUCUACAUAGUUCUCGAACCUGUAGGGUCCGCAUGCUUAAAGUUCGGUGACGAUCAGUUUUAUGAGUUUAUAUGUUUUGAUGUACCGAAGGUAGUUCGGAGUCCCGGAUAUGAUCACGGACAUGACGAGGAGUCUCAAAAUGGUCAAGACAUAAAGAUUGAUAUAUUGGAAGCCUAUAUUUGGACAUCGUAAGAGUUCCAGGUAAAAUCGGGAUUUUACCGGAGUACCGGAGGGGUUACCGGAACCCCCCGGGGGCUAAUGGGCCUUGUUGGGCCAUAAGAGAAAGAGAGAGGGGCCGGCCUAGGGCAGGCAGCGCGCCCCCUCCCUCUGGUCCAAAUUGGACUAGGAGAGGGAGGUGGCGCCCCCCUUUCCUUCUCUUCCUUCCCCUUCCUUUCCCCCUCCUAGUAGGAGUAGGAAAGGGAGGAAUCCUACUCCUACUAGGAUGAGGAUUCCUCCUCCUGGCGCACCAACAAGGGCCGGCCGGCCUCCCCCUUGCUCCUUUAUAUAUAGGGGCAGGGGCACCUCUAGACACACAAGUUGAUCACAAAGAUCUCUCCCAGCCGUGUGCGGUGCCCCCUCCACCAUAAUCCACCUCGGUCAUACUGUAGCGGUGUUUAGGCGAAGCCCUGCUGCGGUAGCUUCAUCAAUAUCAUCACCAUGCCGUCGUGCUGACGUAACUCUUCCCCGAGCUCUACUGGACCGUGCGUUCGCGGGAUGUCACCGAGCUGAACGUGUGCUGAACGCGGAGGUGCCGUACGUUCGGUACUGAGGAUCGGUCGAUCGUGAAGACGUAAGACUAUAUCAACCGCAUUUUCAUAACGCUUCUGCUUAACGGUCUACGAGGAUACGUGGACAACAAUCUCCCCUCUCGUUGCUAUGCAUCACCAUGAUCCUACGUGUGCGUAGGAAAUUUUUUGAAAUUACUACGUUCCCCAACAUAUUUUUCACUCAUCAGAGAUUUGAUAUGCUGUCAUUCUGAGCUCAUGGACUUAAAACACAAAGACGAACAUUUAGGGGAUUUCGAGCAUCCGCAGCCAAGCGCCUCAAACGGGUCACAAACGCCCAGGGGGACGGACCGGUCAAAAAAGUUGAACGCCUCAAACUGGACCCAAACUCUAGGGCUAUCCGACACCCCUCAUAUCCAACCCAAAUCUGGGGUGGAUAUGGGGAGGCUCGAGUGCGUCCUCCAUGUCAGCCUAACCCACACUGGCCCACCAUGACCCCACUCCGUCCCACCAAAAAACCCACCCGAAGCAAACCCUAACUCACUUCAUUUUGCUCUGCCCCUCGUCUUUUCUCCUCCCUUUUCCCAAUCCGUUCCCCUCCUCCUCUCCAUCCACCUGUCUAGCUCCAGCAGUGAUGGAGGCGGUGGGACUAGUGAUGAUUGGGAUGCCUUCCUCCAUGGUGCGGCGGGUGACGAGGAGGAUUUGGCCCUCCACCUAGCGUUGAAGCACUUGCGGGUGGACACAAGUGGUAGCUACGGCUAUGCUUUGUCCCUAGCCACUCCCUACCAUAGUGCCAAUGCUGGAGUCGGCUAGUCCCGCACCGCGCAAAGCUCCUUGUGGUGCGCUUGCUCGCGGCCAUGGCCCGCCACCGCCCACCUAACCCUCCAACUUCUGCUCCUCAAGGGUAGCCAUGGGUUUAGUGCCCCGCUUCGUCGGUGCCACCGACACGAACACCUGAAUCUGAGGUGCGCAUCGCCCACCGCGAGAGGCAGCGGGCUAGUGAGAGGGCGUCGGCCUCGAAGGCGGUCACACAGUCCUCCCGCCUCUGCCGCCGCUGGAUGCCGAUGGUUCCCGAUGACGACGAGUGGCUCCUCCCAUGGGUCUACCGCUGCUCGCUUAUGACAAUGGAGACGGACGCCCGCCGGCUCCGUCGGAAAAACCCGAUGUGUCACAUCCCUAGUUCUGGUAUGCUCAAGGCUAGCUAGUCAUGUGUGCAUCAUGUUUAAAUUCCAUUUAAAUUUGAAAUGGGGAUUUGUGAAACCCUCAGAAAUUAUUUCUGGAAAUAACCCAGAUAAAAAUUGCUCCAAAAGGGUCCAAGAAAAUGUUCAUGUUGCUGUCUGAAAAUAUUGGUCAGAUUUAAAAUUCUAACAAAAAAUUUCAGGAGCUCAUAAAUAUUUAUUUGGCCAUUUGGAAUUAAGGCAUAAUUAUUUGCUUCGGAUAUUUUUUUUAUAUAUAUAAUAUAUGUCCAAAAAUUCUGUAAAUUGAUUGGGAGUUUUGGAGCAAUCCAAAUAGUUCCUACAAAAAUUGACAAAAGAAAAUAAACUGGUUUAGUAUUUUACUAAAUCAGAAACAAAUGUCAGAAAAUUAGAAAACAGAAACAAAACAGGAAAAAAGGGAGAAGGAGCUUACCUGGGCCAACUAACCUGGCAGCCCAUCUGCCCAGACCCAGCAGGCUGGCCCAGCCCACCUCCUACCGACGCCAGUCGUCGUCCUCCUGGCACCAGGAGGACGAGAGGCACGCGCUCGCCGCCCGCGCGCAUGGGGCCACGCCACCAGCUCGCCUGCAUGCCUCCCCCCGCCAGCGCGACGCUGUGGUUGACCCUCCGCUUGCCUCUGGACUGCGCCCGCCUCCUCUGUUCGCUUCCCUCCUCUCCCUCGCUCUUUUCCCGCGCCUGAAGCGCUCCCGUCGCCGCCGCAUGCCGUGGUCGUAGCCACCGCCUCCCCCUCGCCCUCUCUCCGUGUCUGCAAGCUCCGCCACGACUUCCCCUACGCCCUCGACGAGCCAAGCAACCGGGGACGCCCCGUGGAUCCGUCAGCGCCGUCUUCUUCACCCCCGGCCGCCCGAGAUCGCCGGCGCCGCCUCGUCGCCUCCAGAGCCUCCCCCGAGCCGCUGAGCACGCCCACCGAAUCGCUGUGAGUUCUACUCCGUUUCCCCCCUUUCUCGAGCUCGAUUUCCUUGCCUAGCUAGCUCUACCACAAAGGCCGUAGCACCUCGCCACCGGCCAUGUCGCCACCGCAGCCACACCUAUGGGCACCUGCAACCGAGCACACCACCGAGGUCAGCACGUCUCUAGGAGACGAACGCGACCAACCAUGGCCCCUGCCGUGCCCCGUAGCUCGCUCCCGCUCGGAGCCGUGCCCCAGCCGCCGCCCCGAGCUCCGCUCCGGUGAGCUCCGGCCACCCCCGUCCUCCCGUCGCCUCCCCUGGAUGCGCGAGAGCCCGGGUUACGCCCCAGUGCUCCCAGCCGCCGGCCCCGUGCCCUGCAGCGUGGACGCCGCCGCGUCCAGAGGUCACCGCCGACGACCCUAGCCGGCCUGAUGUGCGGGCCCGACCAGCCAGGUGAUUAGCUUAAGGCUAAUCACCAUUUUGCUAACCACCCCUGACACUGACAGUGGGCCCGGCGCCCUCUAAUCCUAAUUAGACCAAAUAAACCCCCUGUUAACUAAUUGAGUCACUAACGUGUGGACCCCACACGUCAGGUUUGACCUGGUCAGCGCCGUUGACUCGCUGACGUAGUGAUGACAUCAUGCUGACACAGUUAUUCUUUUUCUGGAAUUAUUUUAAAACAGGAAAUUCCAAAAAAUGUUUAAAACUUCAAAAAUUCAUAUAAAUUCAACCGUAGCUCAGAUUGAAAUAAUUUAUAUAUGAAAAAUUAUUAGAAAAAUGCAAUCUAUCCAUCUGUACUAGUUUCACGCAUGAAAAACCAAGUCAAAGCUGCUGUAUAAGUGAAACACUAAAAUGGCUUAUAUAAAGAGCUUAUUUUGGAGAUGCAUUUGAAUCUUUGGUUCAAAUGGACUUCAUGCAAAUGAAUGCUAGUUGCAUUAGCUCAAAUAACAUCACAACUUCAUGCCAUAUUCAUGCAUCAUAUUGUUGCAUAUGAUUGUGUAUUGAUUGUCGACACCGUUCCUUCUCGAUAGGUCCUGCUCCGGAGAUCGAUCCAGAGACCUGUCUGAGGAGCAGUGCCCCCUUGUUGAUCUACCAGGCAAGCAAACCCCCUUGUUCAUUCCGAUACAAUCUCGCUCUCUCACUCCUGCUCUCUUUUAUUGCAUUAGGACAACAACGAUUCAACUGCUACUUUAUGUUGCGGUAGUUGAACCCAUUCCUCUACAUGACCUGUCAUUGCCACAGUAAAUAGUUGAAACCCACUAGCAUGUGUAGGAGUUGAUUGAGCCAUGUUGUGUUCCUACCAUGCCAUUACUGCUAUUGCUUAGAGUUGUGUCAGGUCUGAUUCAUCGGGAAUGGAUUGGAGUGUUAUGCUAUGUUCUGAUGCUGAGAGUUAAGCGUCUGAACACGAUUUGUUAAAGGUAGCGGUGAGAGGCCAUGUAGGAGUACAUGGUGGGUUGUCUCAUUGGGACCAUCCUUAAGAACUGAGUUCUGUGUAAGUUGUCCAAUGACUAGCUACUACCACACAUUGGGCUCCGGGCGCUCCAAGCUCUCUCGACUUAUUAACCACCUCGGUCUCUGUCCAGGAGUUGCAACUAGUUUCUGGUGUUUGUAGGUAGUGCUAUUUUUCUACCGAGUGGCACCCGGCAGGGUGGACUUAGGACAGACUGGGCACCGUGGCCUGGUGUACCGAGUGGCACCCGAAUGGUGGGCUCGGGAACCCUGCACACAUCGUUUGGGGCCGUGAGCGACACCCCGGCCGGAUCUCCUUGCGGAUGGAACCCGAAUAGGCGAUAAACCUAGACUACGGUCUUGUGUGGUUAGCCAGGUCGUGGCCGACACCCUCGCCAGGCUUCCGCUUGAAGGUUGCCGAGAUACAUGACGUGUACAUGGCGGUAAGUGGCGAGAGCGUGUGUGAAGACGUACACCCCUGCAGGGUUAUCAUGAUCUAUUCGAAUAGUCGUGUCCUUGCUUAUGGACUUCUUGGAUGCUUACGUGGUACAUAGACAACUUAAAGUGCAUACUCUAAAAUGCUCAAGGCAAGUGUGAGUGCUAUGGAUGGCCUUCCCGUAGUGAGACGGGGAUGGAUCCAUAGUAGUGUAUUGAUGUGGUGAUUAGUGGACUCGUGUGCGCUGCCUCACCUCAAAGAAGUUUCUCGUAGUUGUAGAACAGGAUAGCCACUGAGUCAAAGCUGGCUUGCUGCAACUAAACUCUACAUUACCUUCUUGAUACAAAUGCAUGUAUGAUAGGAACUGAUGUAAGUCUUGCUGAGUACCUUUGUACUCAUGUUGCUUUAUUUAUGUUUUUGCAGCGGAGACUUCGGUCUUACUAGUUUAUGUGGACUUCGACAUGUAGCUUGUACCUCAGCUACGAUCUUGAUCGGAUGUUGUAGAUAGUCAGGCUCUUCAGCCUUUUUCAUUUGUAGUUGUCUGUACUCAGACAUGUAAUGCUUCCACUUGUUGCUUGUAUGCUCUGAAUGAUGGGUCAUGAGAUCCCUGUUUGUAUUAAUGCUAUGUGGCCUUUCUGGGCCUUUAUCUAUAUGAGUUUGCAUUAUGUUGUGAUGCCAUGUUGUACAGCACAUACUUGCAUGUUAUGCGUACGUGUAACGUGUAUUGCUAUGUGUGGGAUCCGACAAUCUAGUUGUUUAUCCUUGUCAACCUCUCUUAUGGGGAAAUGUAGUCUAGUGCCUCCUUGAGCCAUAGUAGUCCGCUACAGCCCGGUUCACCGGGGUCCUGCUAGCCCAGCACUACUGUUCAGGACACUUGACUGGCCGGCAUGUGUUUCACUUCGUUCCUGUGUCUGUCCCUUCGGGGAAAUGUCACGCGGUGACAUCUGGAGUCCUGCCUAGCCUGCUACAUCCCGGGUUACCGGAGUUCUGUUAGCCCAGUGCUACAGCCCGGAUUCACACGCUACUGACCGACAUGCUCAAGGUUGAUUCAUGUAUGCCUGUCCCCAUGGGUUAGUGCCGCUUUGGGUUCACGACUAGUCAUGUCGGCCCGGGUUCUCUAUCAUAUGGAUGCUAGCGACACUAUCAUAUACGUGAGCCAAAAGGCGCAAACGGUCCCGGACCAUGGUAAGGCGACACACGUGGGAAUACCGUGCAUGAGGCCGCAAAGUGAUAUGAGGUGUUACAUGCUAGAUCGGUGUGACUUAGAAUCAGGGUCCCGAUAGCUUUGGUAUCAGAGCCUGACUGCCUGUAGGAUUUCCAAGCCAACCUGGUCGAAGUUGAGUCUAGAAAUUCUUUAGUUAUGUAAGAGAAUUGAUUGGGGAAGGGAACGUAAGGCUCUUUUUACUCCUUAUACCUCAUGCCUUCUGAUCUGAGUCAUCCUAUCUUUCCUACGGGGUUAAGGAACUAGGCUUCCUCUUCUGUCUAUCAGGAUCACGUGUUACUACUCCGUAGUCUCUUAGGAUUGGUUGAUCAGAGUCAUAUCCCAGUUCAAGUACUUCCGGUGUAGUCUGUUUAGUAAUGUCUCAGAACCUUGAGUGAUGAUGUUGAGUAUGGUACUACCCCAUCGUUUACAGGAUGUCUCAUUCUGAGCAUUUUACUGCCGUUAUGCUGCCGGAAUUGUCCUAGGAGUUUGAGAGAUACUAAAUUCUUGUGCUAUCUUCUGCAUCCUAUAGUUGAUUCUGAAUCCAUCCUUGUUUUCCUUGGUUUCGUUCUUUAGGAUGUUGCCGGUUAACCGAAGUUCUGUUGCUCGUAGCCGGAACCACGGAGAUGGUAGGGAUGAGGAUCCUCCCGACCAGUCUUCGUUGACAGAGUUCAUGUUAGAGAUGGAGAGGAACAAGCAUGAGUCUAACCGCUUGUUAGCACGUAUCGAGGAGAACACCGCACCCCAGUGCAAAGAGUCAGCGACCAUCUAUGAUUUUGUUGGUUUGAAACCACCUACCUUCCAUCAUUCCAUUGAACCACUCGAUGCAGAUGACUGGCUCCGUAGUAUCACUCACAAGCUGCCUUCUGCGAAUGUAGCUGAAGGUGACAAGGUCACCUAUGCUGCAUAUCACCUGGAAGGUCCUACUAGUCUUUGGUGGCAGAACUAUGAGGCUAUGCUUCCAGCCGGCCAGAUACCGACCUGGAGAGAUUUCACUGAGGCUUUUCGCGAGCAUCACAUUCCUCUAGCUCUCAUUGACCGCAAGAGAGAAGAGUUCUGUAGUUUCACCCAGGGUAAGAUGGUUGUUGAUGCUUAUAGUAGAGAGUUUGAGAACCUCGCCCGCUAUGCUACAAAAGAAGUGUCCACGGACGCCAAGAAGCAGGCUAGGUUCCGGAAGGGUCUCAACCCCAAGUUGCAUCGUGAUCUCCACUUGCACCAUUGCAAUACAUUCCAGGCUCUUGUGAACAAGGCCAUUAACGCAGAGAUAGCUCAGCUCACCUAUGAGGAGUCUCGUAAGCACACCCGUGAUUUGGGUUCUUCCUCCAGUUCUAGUUCGCAGAAGCGCCGGAUUUGGAUUCCGAACUCCGCUCUUCCACCCGGUUAUACACCGAGGCCAUCUUGUGUGGCGCCUCACCCAGUUCAGCAGUAUGCUCCACCCAGGCCUAUUGGUAGACCGCUUGUCAAUGCGGGUACACAUCCUACUUCAGGGACAUGCUUCACAUGCGGAGAGCCAGGACACAAUGCACGUGACUGCUCUCAAGCCAAUUAUGCUCCACCCCAGCCCGAGAAGCCUAUUGGCCGUGGUAAGCCACCAUGCAAGAUGAUCAGUGUCAAGUCAGCUCCCACUGAACGUGGAUGUGUGCAUCAUGUCUCAGCUAAAGACGCUCAUGAUGAUCCGGAUGUCGUUCUUGGUACACUCCUUGUCAACUGUCAUCCAGCUUCGGUUCUAUUUGAUACUGGAGCAUCUCACUCCUUCAUCUCUCAAGGCUAUGCUCAUUUGCACGACAUGUCAUUUUGUGAUAUGCCAACUCCGCUUGAAAUCCAAACUCCGGGGUCUAGAUGGCAAACUACCAGAAUAAGCCAUGGUAAUGAAAUCCUUGUUGACAGACUUGUAUUCCUUGCAUCACUUAUAGCCCUCAAGUCUACAGAUAUUAACAUCAUCUUGGGUAUGGACUGGAUGAAAGCUCAUUAUGCCAAGAUUGAUUGUUUCACCAAGUCUGUUCAGCUUACACACCCAUCUGGCAAGAUAGUCACUGUCUCUACUAGAGUUGCAAAGCGUCAACUCUAUUCUCUUAACGCCAGCCCUCUCCCAGACCUUGAAGAUAUCCCGGUAGUCCGUGACUUUCCGGAUGUCUUUCCAGAGGAACUGCCAGGCAUUCCACCUGACAGAGAUGUAGAGUUUGUCAUAGAUCUUAUCCCAGGAACCGCCCCAAUUUCUAGGAGACCUUACAAGAUGGCACCCUUAGAACUAGCCGAGCUUAAGAAACAACUCGAUGAGUCCUUGCAAAAGGGUUUCAUCUGUCCUAGUUCUUCUCCUUGGGCUUGCCCCGUUCUUUUGUCAAGAAGAAGGAUGGUACGGACCGGAUGGUUGUAGAUUAUCGUCCCGUUAAUUUGGUCACGAUAAAGAACAAAUAUCCGCUCCCCAGGAUCAACGACCUGUAUGAUCAGCUCGCUGGAUCCUCAGUCUUUUCCAAGAUGGAUUUGAGGUUAGGCUACCAUCAAAUCAACAUUAGAAAUGGGGACAUACCUAAGACGGCUUUCGUCACUCGUUAUGGCCAGUACGAGUACACCGUCAUGUCCUUUGGUCUAACCAAUGCUCCAGCCACAUUCUCCCGCUUGAUGAACUCGAUCUUCAUGGAGUACUUAGACAAGUUCGUCGUGGUUUACCUCGAUGAUAUCCUUAUUUACUCGAAGAACAAGGAAGAGCAUGCCGAACAUCUUAGACUUGUGUUAGAGAAACUCAGAGAGCACCGCCUUUAUGCCAAGUUCUCCAAGUGCGAAUUUUGGUUGCCAGAAGUGACCUACCUGGGCCACGUGAUAUCUGGUAAGGGCAUUGCUGUCAACCCCGAGAGAGUUCAGGCCGUUCUUGAUUGGACUCCACCUGAAACAGUUAAACAAGUUAGGAGUUUCCUUGGUCUAGCCAGUUAUUGCCGCCGCUUUGUUGAAAACUUCUCUAAAGUGGCCAAACCUCUCUAAAGUGGUCCCCAUAGUGUGAGUACAGUUUUCAGGAACUGAAAAGAUGCCUGAAUUCUGCUCCCAUACUUGUGCCACCGGAUUUCACUAAGGACUUUGUUAUCUAUUGUGAUGCCUCACGACAGGGACUAGGUUGCAUUCUUAUGCAAGAUCGCCAUGUGAUUGCCUAUGCAUCUCGACAGUUGCAUCCACAUGAGGAGAAUUAUCCUACACAUGAUCUAGAGCUUGCAGCCGUAGUCUAUGCACUUAAGACAUGGCGACAUUACCUUCUUGGUAAAUGUUUCGAGAUUUACACCGAUCACCAGAGUCUCAAGUAUAUCUUCACCCAACCAGAUUUGAACCUUAGGAAAAGACGUUGGUUGGAGUUGAUCUCAGAUUACGACUUAGGGAUUACCUACACCCCAGGCAAGGGCAAUGUCAUGGCUGAUGCGCUAAGUCGUAAGUCCUAUUGCAACAAUCUUAUGUUACAGCAGGGCCAACCACUUCUCCAUGAGGAAUUUUGUAAGCUUAACCUUCACAUUGCUCCUCAUGGAUUCCUUUCUACCUUGGUGGCGAAACCUACUCUUGUGGACCAGAUCAUCUCUGCUCAGAAGCAGGAUACGGGAAUUUCCCGGAUCAAGAGAAACAUUAACAAGGGAGUUGGUGGUAGUUUCUCUAUAGAUGAUCGAGGUGUUGUUUUCUUUGAGAAUCGCUUGGUGGUUCCCAAGAAUCAACAUCUGCGACAACUGAUCCUUAAGGAGGCUCAUGAAUCUCCUCUCAUGAUUCAUCCCGGUAGUACUAAGUUGUAUCAGGACCUACGCCAGAGGUUCUGGUGGACUAGGAUGAAGAGAGAAAUCGCUGAGUUCAUUGCUAACUGUGACGUUUGUCGUCGCGUUAAGGCAGAACAUCAAAGACCUGCUGGCACCCUUCAGCCUUUAGCUAUUCCUGAGUGGAAAUGGGAUAAGGUUGGUAUGGACUUCAUCACCGGCUUUCCCAGGACCAAGAAAGGGAAUAAUGCUAUCCUCGUAGUCAUUGAUCGUCUUUCCAAAGUGGCUCACUUCCUACCUAUUCGAGAGAAUAUCACCGCUAAUCAGCUCGCUGACUUAUAUAUUUCUCGAAUAGUUUUACUUCAUGGUGUUCCACUAGAGAUCAAUUCAGACCGUGGUAGUCUUUUCACUUCUCAUUUUUGGGAGAGUUUCCAAACUGCCAUGGGCACCCAUCUUUCCUUCAGUACCGCUUUCCACCCUCAAUCAAGUGGUCAGGUGGAAAGGGUCAACCAAAUUCUCGAAGACAUGCUUAGAGCUUGUGUUAUCUCAUUCGGUAUGGAUUGGGAGAAGUGUCUUCCUUUCGCCGAGUUUGCUUAUAACAAUAGCUACCAAUCCAGUCUCAAGAAAGCUCCUUUUGAGAUUCUGUAUGGACGAAGAUGUCGAACACCUUUGAACUGGUCAGAAACCGGUGAAAGACAAUUCUUUGGACCGGACAUGAUCCAGGAGGCAGAAGAGCAAGUUCGCAUCAUUCGUGAGAAUUUGAAAACAGCCCAAUCUCGUCAAAAGAGCCAGUAUGACCAUUGUCAUAAGGAAGUGGCUUAUGAAGUUGGCGACAAGGCUUACCUUCGGGUUACCCCUUUGAAGGGUACCCAUCGAUUCGGUAUCAAGGGCAAGUUGGCUCCUCGUUACAUUGGUCCUUUUCGCAUUCUCGCUAAACGAGGAGAGGUUGCCUACCAGUUGGAACUACCCCCACAUCUUUCUCGAGUACAUGAUGUCUUCCACGUCUCUCAACUUAGGCGUUGCUUCUCGGAUCCCAUCCGUGGAGUGGACCACGAAAUGCUUGAUCUCCAAGAUAACCUCACAUAUCGAGAGUACCCUGUUCGCGUUCUUGAUCAAGCAGAGCGUGUCACUCGACGUCAGAACAUCAAGUUUCUCAAGUUUCAGUGGUCUCAUCAUUCCGAGAGAGAAUCUACCUGGGAGCGAGAAGAUCGUCUUUGACUGGAGUACCCCACCUUCUUUCCGUCGACCCCUGAAUCUCGAGACGAGAUUCUUUCAAGUGGGGGCGAGUUGUCACAUCCCUAGUUCUGGUAUGCUCAAGGCUAGCUAGUCAUGUGUGCAUCAUGUUUAAAUUCCAUUUAAAUUUGAAAUGGGGAUUUGUGAAACCCUCAUAAAUUAUUUCUGGAAAUAACCCAGAUAAAAAUUGCUCCAAAAGGGUCCAAGAAAAUGUUCAUGUUGCUCUCUGAAAAUAUUGGUCAGAGUUAAAAUUCUAACAAAUAUUUUCAGGAGCUCAUAAAUAUUUAUUUUGGCCAUUUGGAAUUAAGGCAUAAUUAUUUGCUUCGGAUAUUAUAUAUAUAUAUAUAUAUAAUAUGUCCAAAAAUUAUGUAAAUUGAUGGGGAGUUUUGGAGCAAUCCAAAUAGUUCCUACAAAAAUUGACAGAAGAAAAUAAACUGGUUUAGUAUUUUACUAAAUCAGAAACAAAUGUCAGAAAAUUAGAAAACAAAAACAAAACAGGAAAAACGGAGAAGGAGCUUACCUGGGCCAACUAACCUGGCGGCCCAUCUGCCCAGACCCAGCAGGCUGGCCCAGCCCACCUCCUGCCGACGCCAGUCAUCGUCCUCCUAGCGCCAGGAGGACGAGAGGCACGCGCUCGCCGCCCGCGCGCAUGGGCGCCACGCCACCAGCUCGCCUGCCUGCCUCCCCCCGCCAGCGCGACGCCGUGGUUGACCCUCCACUUGCCUCUGCACCGCGCCCGCCUCCUCUGUUCGCUUCCCUCCUCUCCCUCGCUCUCUCCCCGCGCCCAAAGCGCUGCCGUCGCCGCCGCACGCCGUGGCCGUAGCCACCGCCUCCCCCUCGCCCUCUCUCAGUGUCUGCAAGCUCCGCCGCGACUUCCCCUACGCCCUCGACGAGCCAAGCAACCGGGGACGCCCCGUGGAGCUGUCACCGCCAUCUUCUUCACCCCCGGCCGCCCGAGAUCGCCGGUGCCGCCUCGUCGCCUCUAGAGCCUCCCCCGAGCCGCUGAGCACGCCCACCGAAUCGCUGUGAGGUCUACUCCGUUUCCCCCCCUUUCUCGAGCUCGAUUUCCUUGCCUAGCUAGCUCUACCACCACGGCCAUAGCACCUCGCCGCCGUCCAUGUCGCCACCGCAGCCACACCUACGGGCACCUGCAACCGAGCACACCACCGUGGUCAGCACGUCUCCAGGAGACGAAUGCGACCAACCCCGGCCCCUGCCGUGCCCCAUAGCUCGCUCCCGCUCGGAGCCGUGCCCCGGCCGCCGCCCCGAGCUCCGCUCUGGCGAGCUCCGGCCACCCCGCGUCCUCCCGUCGCCUCCCCUGGAUGCGCGAGAGCCCGGGCUACGCCCCGGUGCUCCCAGCUGCCGCCCCCAUGCCCUGCAGCGUGGACGCCGCCGCAUCAAGAGGUCACCGCCGACGACCCUAGCCGGCCUGACGUGCGGGCCCGACCAGCCAGGUGGUUAGCUUAAGGCUAAUCACCAUUUUGCUAACCACCCCUGACACUGACAGUGGGCCCGGCGCCCUCUAAUCCUAAUUAGACCAAAUAAACCCCCUUGUUAACUAAUUGAGUCACUAACGUGUGGACCCCACACGUCAGGUUUGACCUGGUCAGCGCCGUUGACUCGCUGACGUAGUGAUGACAUCAUGCUGACACAGUUAUUCUUUUUCUGGAAUUAUUUUAAAACAGGAAAUUCCAAAAAAAUGUUUAAAACUUCAAAAAUUCAUAUAAAUUCAACCGUAGCUCAGAUUGAAAUAAUUUAUAUAUGAAAAAUUAUUAGAAAAAUGCAAUCUAUCCAUCUGUACCAGUUUCAUGCAUGAAAAACCAAGUCAAAGCUGCUGUAUAAGUGAAACACUAAAAUGGCUUAUAUAAAGAGCUUAUUUUGGAGAUGCAUUUGAAUCUUUGGUUCAAAUGGACUUCAUGCAAAUGAAUGCUAGUUGCAUUAGCUCAAAUAACAUCACAACUUCAUGCCAUAUUCAUGCAUCAUAUUGUUGCAUAUGAUUGUGUAUUGAUUGCCGACACCGUUCCUUCUCGAUAGGUCCUGCUCCGGAGAUCGAUCCAGAGUACCUGUCUGAGGAGCAGUGCCCCCUGGUUGAUCUACCAGGCAAGCAAACCCCCUUGUUCAUUCCGAUACAAUCCCGCUCUCUCGCUCCUGCUCUCUUUUAUUGCAUUAGGACAACAACGAUUCAACUGCUACUUUAUGUUGCGGUAGUUGAACCCAUUCCUCUGCAUGACCUGUCAUUGCCACAGUAAAUAGUUGAAACCCACUAGCAUGUGUAGGAGUUGAUUGAGCCAUGUUGUGUUCCUACCAUGCCAUGCCUGCUAUUGCUUAGAGUUGUGUCAGGUCUGAUUCAUCGGGAAUGGAUUGGAGUGUUAUGCUAUGUUCUGAUGCUGAGAGUUAAGCGUGUGAACACGAUUUGGUAAAGGUAGCGGUGAGAGGCCAUGUAGGAGUACAUGGUGGGUUGUCUCAUUGGGACCGUCCUUAAGAACUGAGUUCUGUGUAAGUUGUCCAAUGACUAGCUACUACCACACAUUGGGCUCCGGGCGCUCCAAGCUCUCUCGACUUAUUAACCACCUCGGUCUCUGUCCAGGAGUUGCAACUAGUUUCUGGUGUUUGUAGGUAGUGCUAUUUUUCUAGCGAGUGGCACCCGGCAGGGUGGACUUGGGAUAGACUAGGCACCGUGGCCUGGUGUACCGAGUGGCACCCGGAUGAUGGGCUCGGGAACCCUGCACACAUCGUUUGGGGCCGUGAGCGACACCCCGGCCGGAUCUCCUUGCGGAUGGAACCCGAAUAGGCGAUAAACCUAGACUACAGUCUUGUGUGGUUAGCCAGGUCGUGGCCGACACCCUCGCCAGGCUUCCGCUUGAAGGUUGCCGAGAUACAUGACGUGUACAUGGCGGUAAGUGGCGAGAGCGUGUGUGAAGAAGUACACCCCUGCAGGGUUAUCAUGAUCUAUUCGAAUAGCCGUGUCCUCAGUUAUGGACUUCUUGGAUGCUUACGUGGUACAUAGACAACUUAAAGUGGAUACUCUAAAAUGCUCAAGACAAGUGUGAGUUCUAUGGAUGGCCUUCCCGUAGUGAGACGGGGAUGGAUCCAUAGUAGUGUAUUGAUGUGGUGAUUAGUGGACUCGUGUGCGCUGCCUCACCUCAAAGAAGUUUCUCGUAGUCGUAGAACGGGAUAGCCACUGAGUCAAAGCUGGCUUGCUGCACCUAAACUCCACCUUACCUUCUUGAUACAAAUGCAUGUAUGAUAGGAACUGAUGUAAGUCUUGCUGAGUACCUUUGUACUCAUGUUGCUCUAUUUAUGUUUUUGCAGCGGAGACUUCGGUCUUACUAGUUUACAUGGACUUCGACAUGUAGCUUGUACCUCAGCUACGAUCUUGAUCGGAUGUUGUAGAUAGUCAGGCUCUUUAGCCUUUUCAUUUGUAGUUGUCUGUACUCAGACAUGUAAUGCUUCCGCUUGUUGCUUGUAUGCUCUGAAUGAUGGGUCAUGAGAUCCCUGUUUGUAUUAAUGCUAUGUGGCCUUUCUGGGCCUUUAUCUAUAUGAGUUUGCGUUAUGUUGUGAUGCCAUGUUGUACAGCACAUACUUGCAUGUUAUGCGUACGUGUAACAUGUAUUGCUAUGUGUGGGAUCCGACAAUCUAGUUGUUUAUCCUUGUCAGCCUCUCUUAUGGGGAAACAUAGUCUAGUGCCUCCUUGAGCCAUAGUAGUCCGCUAUAGCCCGGUUCACAGGAGUCCUGCUAGCCCAGCACUACUGUUCAGGACACUUGACUGGCCGGCAUGUGUUUCACUUCGUUCCUAUGUUUGUCCCUUCGGGGAAAUGUCACGCGGUGACAUACGGAGUCCUGCCUAGCCUGCUACAGCCCGGGUUACCGGAAUUCUGUUAGCCCAGUGCUACAGCCUGGAUUCACACGCUGCUGACCUACAUGCUCGAGGUUGAUUCAUGUAUGCCUGUCCCCAUGGGUUAGUGCCGCUUUGGGUUCACGACUAGUCAUGUCGGCCCGGGUUCUCUGUCAUAUGGAUGCUAGCGACACUAUCAUAUACGUGAGCCAAAAGGCGCAAACGGUCCCGGGCCAUGGUAAGGCAACACCCGUGGGAAUACCGUGCGUGAGGCCGCAAAGUGAUAUGAGGUGUUACAUGCUAGAUCGGUGUGACUUAGAAUCGGGGUCCCAACACGAUGGCACUUCAGGUAGGACUAGAGCAGUCAGCGUGCGAGGCGUUGGAGGCAAUAGCAGAGGUGGCAAGGGCGGCCAAGCUGAAGAGGUAGAAAGACCGCUCCGUUCGGAAGAUGGUGGGCUUCAUCAACUCCUCCUCGUCCUCCACAUCACCGACGACUCUGACUACCCACCUCUUGCCGCCACCGCCUAUCGGACGCCUAUAGUAGCACUGGUGAACGGAAGGGCAAAGGGCCAGCGAGGAAGUGGUGAAGCUCGACACUCUCUCCAUGUUUAUUUCUGCUUUUAGUAAUCUAGUUUAGAACUUGUCCAUUGCUACCUCUUGAGCACUGCCUUGGAAUUCCCCAAAGAGGAGAGGAUGAUGCAGCAAAGUAGCGUAAGUAUUUCCCUUAGUUUUUGAGAACCAAGGUAUCAAUCCAGUAGGAGGCUACGCGCAAGUCCCUCGUACCUACACAAAAACAAUAACUCAACGCAACCAACGCGCUUAGGGGUUGUCAAUCCCUUCAGGGUCACUUACGAAAGUGAGAUCUGAUAGAGAUGAUAAAUAAUAUUUUUGGUAUUUUUGGUAUAGAGAUGCAAAGUAAAAAGUAAAAGCAAAGUAAAAGCAAAGCAAUAAUAAAGUAAUGGAGAUUGAUAUGAUGAGAAAGAGACCCGGGGCCAUAGGUUUCACCAGUGGCUUCUCUCAAGAGCAUAAGUAUUCUACGGUGGGUGAACAAAUUACUGUUGAGCAAUUGACAGAAUUGAGCAUAGUUACGAGAAUAUCUAGUUAUGAUCAUGUAUAUAGGCAUCACGUCCGAGACAAGUAGACCGACUCCUGCCUGCAUCUACUACUAUUACUCCACUCAUCGACUGCUAUCCAGCAUGCAUCUAGAGUAUUAUGUUAAAAGAAGAGUAACGCCUUAAGUAAGAUGACAUGAUGUAGAGGGAUAGUUUCAUGCAAUAUGAUAAAAAAACCAUCUUGUUAUCCUCGAUGGCAACAAUACAAUACGUGCCUUGCUGCCCCUUCUGUCACUAGGAAAGGACACCACAAGAUCAAACCCAAAGCUAAGCACUUCUCCCAUGGCAAGAAAAACCAAUCUAGUAGGCCAAACCAAACUGCUAAUUCGAAGAGACUUGCAAAGAUAACCAAUCAUACAUAAAAGAAUUCAGAGAAGAUUCAAAUAUUAUUCAAAGAUAGACUGGAUCAUAAACCCACAAUUCAUCGGUCUCAACAAACACACCGCAAAAAGAAGAUUACAUCGAAUAGAUCUCCACGAGAGAGGGGAGAACGUUGUAUUGAGAUCCAAAAAGAGAGAAGAAGCCAUCUAGCUACUAACUAUGGACCCGUAGGUCUGAAGUAAACCACUCACACUUCAUUGGAGGGGCUUGGAUGAUGAUGUAGAAGCCCUCCGUGAUCGAUGCCCCCUCCGUUGGAGCUCCGGAACAGGCCCCACGAUGGGAUCUCGUGGAUACAGAAAGUUGCGGCGGUGGAAUUAGGUUUUUGGCUCCGUAUCUGAUCGUUUGGGGGUACGUGGAUAUAUAUAUAUAUAUAUAUAUAUAUAUAUAUAUAUAUAGGAGGAAGAAGUACGUCGGUGGAGCAACACGGGGCCCACGAGGGUGGAGGGUGCUCCUGGGGGGGCAGGCGCGCCCCCCUACCUCGUGGCCUCCUAUUAAUUGGCUUGACGUAGGGUCCAAGUCUCCUGAGUUGUAUUCGGUGAGAAAAUCACGUUCCCGAAGGUUUCAUUCCGUUUGGACUCCGUUUGAUAUUCCUUUUCUUCGAAACCCUAAAACACGCAAAAAACAGCAAUUCUGGGUUGGGCCUCCGGUUAAUAGGUUAGUCCCAAAAAUAAUAUAAAAGUGGAUAAUAAAGCCCAAUAAUGUCCAAAACAGUAGAUAAUAUAGCAUGGAGCAAUCAAAAAUAAUAGAUACAUUGGAGACAUAUCAAGCAUCCCCAAGCUCAAUUCCUGCUCGUCCUCGAGUAGGUAAAUGAUAAAAACAGAAUUUUUGAUGCGGAGUGCUACUUGGCAUAAUUUCAAUGUAAAUCUUCUUAAUUGUGGUAUGAAUAUUCAGAUCAAAAGAUUCAAGACAAAAUUUCAUGUUGACAUAAAAAUAAUAGUACUUCAAGCAUACUAACAAAGCAAUUAUGUCUUCUCAAAGUAACAUGGCCAAAGAAAGCUAUCCCUAGAAAAUCAUAUAGUCUGGCUAUGCUCUAUCUUCACCACACAAAGUAUUUAAAUCAUGCACAACCCCGAUGACAAGCCAAGCAAUUGUUUCAUACUUUUGACAUUUUCAAAACUUUUUCGAUCUUCAUGCAAUACAUGAGCGUGAGCCAUGGAUAUAGCACUAUAUGUGGAAUAGAAUGGUGGUUGUGGAGAAGACAAAAAGAGGGGAAGAUAGUCUCACAUCAACUAGGCGUAUCAACAAGCUAUGGAGAUGCCCAUCAAUAGAUAUCAAUGUGAGUGAGUAGGGAUUGCCAUGCAAUGGAUGCACUAGAGCUAUAAGUAUAUGAAAGCUCAACAAAAGAAACUAAGUGAGUGUGCAUACAACUCGCUUACUCACGAAGACCUAGGGCAUUUUGAGGAAGCCCAUCAUUGGAAUAUACAAGCCAAGUUCUAUAAUGAAAAAUUCCCACUAGUAAAUGAAAGUGAUAGAAUGAGAGACUCUCUAUCAUGAAGAUCAUGGUGCUACUUUGAAGCACAAGUGUGGUAAAAGGAUAGUAACAUUGUCCCUUCUCUCUUUUUCUCUCACUUCUUUUUGGGCCUUCUCUUUUUUAUGGCCUCUUUUUUUCGUCCGGAGUCUCAUCCCGACUUGUGGGGGAAUCAUAGUCUCCAUCAUCCUUUCCUCACUUGGGACAAUGCUCUAAAAAUAAUGAUCAUCACACUUUUUUUUCUUACAACUCAAUACUUAGAACAAAAUAUGACUCUAUAUGAAUGCCUCGGCGGUGUACCGGGAUAUGCAAUGAAUCAAGAGUGACAUGUAUGAAAGAAUUAUGAACGGUGGCUUUGCCACAAAUACGAUGUCAACUACAUGAUCAUGCUAGCAAUAUGACAAUGAUGGAGCAUGUCAUAAUGAACGGAACAGUGGAAAGUUGCAUGGCAAUAUAUCUCGGAAUGGCUAUGGAAAUGCCAUGAUAGGUAGGUAUGGUGGCUGUUUUGAGGAAGGUAUUUGGUGGGUGUAUGGUACCGGCGAAAAGUGCGCAGUAUUAGAGAGGCUAGCAAUGGUGGAAGGAAGGAACGUGUGUAUAAUCCAUGGACUCAACAUUGGUCAUAAAGAACUCAUAUACUUAUUGCAAAAAUCUAGAAGUUAUCAAAGCAAAGUAUUACGCGCAUGCUCCUAGGGGAAUAGAUUGGUAGGAAAAGACCAUCGCUUGUCCCCGACCGCCACUCAUAAGGAAGACAAUCAAUAAAUAAAUCAUGCUCCAACUUCAUCACAUAACGGUUCACCAUACGUGCAUGCUACGGGAAUCACAAACUUUAACACAAGAAUUUCUCAAAUUCACAACUACUCAACUAGCAUGACUCUAAUAUCACCAUCCUCAUAUCUCAAAACAAUUAUCAAGCAUCAAUUUUUUUUCUUAGUAUUCAACGCACUCAAAAGAAAGUUUUACAAAUCUUGAAUACCAAGCAUAUUAUUAUUAAGCAAAUUACCAUGCUAUUAAGACUCUCAAAAUAAUCUAAGUGAAGCAUGAUAGAUCAAUAGUUUCUAUAAAACAAAUCCACCACCGUGCUCUAAAAGAUAUAAGUGAAGCACUAGAGCAAAAUUAUAUAACUCAAAAGAUAUAAGUGAAGCACAUAGAGUAUUCUAUCAAAUUCCAAAUUAUGUAUGGCUCUCUCAAAAGGUGUGUACAGCAAGGAUGAUUGUGGUAGACUAAAAAUCAAAGACUCAAAUCAUAAAAGACGCUCCAAGCAAAACACAUAUCAUGUGGUGAAUAAAAAUAUAGCUCCAAGUAAAGUUACCGAUAGAAGUAGACGAAAGAGGGGAUGCCUUUCGGGGCAUCCCCAAGCUUUCGCUUUUAGGUGUCCUUAGGUUAUAUUGGGGGUGCCAUGGGAAUCCCCAAGCUUAGGCUCUUGCCACUCCUUGUUCCAUAAUCCAUCAAAUCUUUACCCAAAACUUGAAAACUUCACAACACAAAACUUAAAGCAGAAAAUCUUGUGAGCUCCGUUAGCGAAAGAAAACAAAAGACCACUUCAAGGUACUGUAAUGAACUCAUUAUUUAUUUAUAUGGGUGUAAUACCUACUGUAUUACAACUUCUCUAUGGUUUAUAAACUAUUUUAUUAGCCAUAGAUUCAUCAAAAUAAGCAAACAACACACGAAAAACAGAAUCUGUCAAAAACAGAACAGUCUGUAGUAAUCUGUAGCUAGCGCAAGAUCUGGAAUCCCAAAAAUUCUAAAAUAAAUUUCUGGACGUGAGUAAUUUAUCUAUUAAUCAUCUGCAACAAUAAUUAACUAAAUAGAACUCUCCAAAUAAAAAUGACAGCAGUUCUCGUGAGCGCUAAAGUUUAUGUUCUUUACAGCAAGUGCAACAAGACUUUCCCCAAGUCUUCCCAACGGUUCUACUUAGCACAAACACUAAUUAAACACAAAAAAACACAAUCAAAACAUAGGCUAAAUAAAUUAUUUAUUGAAUAAAAGUAAGGGAAAAUAUUGGGUUGUCUCCCAACAAGCGCUUUUCUUUAAAGCCUUAUAGCUAGGCAUACGAUUUUAACGAUGCUCACAAGAAAGACAAGAAUUGAAGCACAAAGAGAGCAUCAUAAAACAUGUGACAAUCACAUCUAAGUCUAACAUACUUCCUAUGCAUAGGCAUCUUAUAGGCAAAAAAAUUAUCAAGGCAAGCAAAAACUAGCAUAUGCAAGGAAGCGGAAAGAAACAAUAGCAAUCUCAACAUAACGAGAGGUAAUUUAGUAACAUGAAAAUUUCUACAACCAUAUUUUCCUCUCUCAUAGUAAUUACAUGUAGAAUCAUAAGCAAAUUAAAGAAUAUAGCUAUCACAUAAAAUAUUCUCAACAUGAUCCAUAUGCAUGCAAAAUUGGCACUUUUCCGAAAUAGUGGGAUUAACAUUAACUAAAGUCAUGACCUUUCCAAACGGGCUUUUAUCAAAAACUUCAUAAGAUUGAACAUUCUCCAAAUAUGUGGGAUCUAAAGUUGACAUUCUUCCAAACCCACUUUCAAUACUAUUGCAAACAUUAUAAUCAAUCUCAUAUUCAUCAUGGGGCUUAAAUAAAUUUUGAAUAUCAUAAGAAGAAUCACCCCAAUCAUGAUCAUUACAACAAGUAGUAGACAUAGCAAAACUAGCAUCCCCAAGCUUAGGGUUUUGCAUAUUAUUAGCACAAUUGACAUCAAGAGAAGUUAUAGUAAAAUCAUUGCAAUCAUGCUUUUUAUUCAAAAGAUCUAUCAUGAAUCGCUUCAUAAAGUAAUUCAUCACACUUUUCAGAUUCACAAAUUUCAAGCAAAACUUCAUAAAGAUAAUCUAGUGCACAAAACUCACUAGCAAUUUGUUCAUCAUAAUUGGAUCUCUUAAAAAGAUUAGCAAGUGGAUGAGGAUCCAUAGAUCUUAGGUUCUCUGUUUAGUAAUAAAUAAACAACUAUUCCAACCAUACGAGCAAACAAGAAACGGGCAAAAAGAGGCAAAUAGAGAAAGAGAGGGAGGAUAGAGAGAGAGAGAGGGCGAAUAAAACGGCAAGGGUGAAGUGGGGGAGAGGAAAACGAGAGGCAAAUGGCAAAUAAUGUAAUGCGGGAGAUAUGAAUUGUGAUGGGGUACUUGGUAUGUUGACUUUUGCGCAGACUCCCCGGCAACGGCGCCAGAAAUUCUUGUUGCUACCUCUUGAGCACUGCGUUGGAUUUCCCCGAAGAGGAGAGGAUGAUGCAGCAAAGUAGCAUAAGUAUUUCCCUCAGUUUUUGAGAACCAAGGUAUCAAUCCAGUAGGAGGCUACGCGCAAGUCCCUCGUACCUACACAAAAACAAUAGCUCAACGCAACCAACGCGCUUAGGGGUUGUCAAUCCCUUCACAGUCACUUACGAAAGUGAGAUCUGAUAGAGAUGAUAAAUAAUAUUUUUGGUAUUUUUGGUAUAGAGAUGCAAAGUAAAAAGUAAAAGCAAAGUAAAAGCAAAGCAAUAAUAAAGUGAUGGAGAUUGAUAUGAUGAGAAAGAGACCCGGGGGCCAUAGGUUUCACUAGUGGCUUCUCUCAAGAGCAUAAGUAUUCUACGGUGGGUGAACAAAUUACUGUUGAGCAAUUGACAGAAUUGAGCACAGUUAUGAGAAUAUCUAGGUAUGAUCAUGUAUAUAGGCAUCACGUCCGAGAGAAGUAGACCGACUCCUGCCUGCAUCUACUACUAUUACUCCACUCAUCGACCGCUAUCCAGCAUGCAUCUAGAGUAUUAAGUUAAAAACAGAGUAACGCCUUAAGCAAGAUGACAUGAUGUAGAGGGAUAGUUUCAUGCAAUAUGAUAAAAAAAACCAUCUUGUUAUCCUUGAUGGCAACAAUACAAUACGUGCCUUGCUGCCCCUUCUGUCACUGGGAAAGGACACCGCAAGAUCGAACCCAAAGCUAAGCACUUCUCCCAUGGCAAGAAAAACUAAUCUAGUAGGCCAAACCAAACUGAUAAUUCGAAGAGACUUGCAAAGAUAACCAAUCAUACAUAAAAGAAUUUAGAGAAGAUUCAAAUAUUAUUCAUAGAUAGACUGGAUCAUAAACCCACAAUUCAUCGGUCUCAACAAACACACCGCAAAAAGAAGAUUACAUCGAAUAGAUCUCCACGAGAGAGCGGGAGAACAUUGUAUUGAGAUCCAAAAAGAGAGAAGAAGCCAUCUAGCUGUUGGAAAUAUGCCCUAGAGGCAAUAAUAAAAGGAUUAUUACUAUAUUUCCUUGUUCAUGAUAAUUGCCUUUUUAUUCAUGCUAUAAUUGUGUUAUCCGGAAAUCGUAAUACAUGUGUGAAUACAUAGACACCAACAUGUCCCUAGUAAGCCUCUAGUUGACUAGCUCAUUGAUCAACAGAUAGUCAUGGUUUCCUGACUAUGGACAUUGGAUGUCAUUGAUAACGAGAUCACAUCAUUAGGAGAAUGAUCUGAUGGACAAGACCCAAUCCUAAACAUAGCACAAGAUCGUAUAGUUUGUUUGCUAGAGUUUUUCCAAUGUCAAGUAUCUUUUCCUUAGACCAUGAGAUCGUGUAACUCCCGGAUACCGUAGGAGUUAUUUGGGUGUACCAAACAUCACAACGUAACUGGGUGACUAUAAAGGUAUACUACGGGUAUCUCUGAAAGUGUUUGUUGGGUUGACACGGAUCAAGACUGGGAUUUGUCACUCCGUAUGACGGAGAGGUAUCUCUGGGCCCACCCGGUAAUGCAUCAUCAUAAUGAGCUCAAAGUGACCAAGUGUCUGGUCACGGGAUCAUGCAUUACGGUACGAGUAAAGUGACUUGCCGGUAACGAGAUUGAACGAGGUAUUGGGAUACCAACGAUCGAAUCUCGGGCAAGUAACGUACCGAUUGACAAAGGGAAUUGUAUACGGGGUUGCUUGAAUCCUCGACAUCGUGGUUCAUCCGGUGAGAUCAUCGAGGAGCAUGUGGGAGCCAACAUGGGUAUCCAGAUCCCGUUGUUGGUUAUUAACCGGAGAGCCGUCUCGGUCAUGUCUACAUGUCUCCCGAACCCGUAGGGUCUACACACUUAAGGUUCGGUGAUGCUAGGGUUGUAGAGAUAUGAAUAUGCAGUAACCUGAAAGUUGUUCGGAGUCCCGGAUGAGAUCCCGGACGUCACGAGGAGUUCCGGAAUGGUCCGAAGGUGAAGAAUUAUAUAUAGGAAGUGUUGUUUGGGCCAUCGGGAGAGUUUCGGGGGUCACCGGUAUUGUACCGGGACCACCAGAUGGGUCCUGGGGGUCCACCGGGUGGGACCACCCAUCCCGGAGGGCCCCAUGGGCUGAAUUGGGGAGGGGAACCAGCCCAUAGUGGACUGGUGCGCCCCCCUUGGCCCACCCCCUACGCCUAGGGUUGGAAACCCUAGGGUGGGGGGCGCCCCACUUGCCUUGGGGGCCACUCCACCCUUGGCCGCCGCCCCCCCUAGGAGAUCCCAUCUCCUAGGGCCGGCGCCCCCCCUUGGGGGGCCUAUAUAAAGGGGGGAGGGAGGGGCAGCCGCACCCUUGACUCUUGUCGCCUCCCUCUCCCCUGCUACACCUCUCCCUCUCGUAGAAGAACGGCGAAGCCCUGCUGCGGUGACUGCUGCAUCCACCACCACGCUGUCGUGCUGCUGGAUCUUCAUCAACCUCUCCUUCCCCCUUGCUAGAUCAAGAAGGAGGAGACGUCACGCUGACCGUACGUGCGUUGAACGCGGAGGUGCCUUCCGUUCGGCGCUAGGAUCUCCAGUGAUUUGGAUCACGACGAGUACGACUCCCUCAUCCCCGUUCUUUGAACGCUUCCGCUCGCGAUCUACAAAGGUAUGUAGAUGCAUCCGAUCACUCGUUGCUAGAUGAACUCAUAGAUGGAUCUUGGUGAAAACUUAGGAAAUUUUUUUGUUUUCUGCAACGUUCCCCAACGGUGGCAUCAUGAGCUAGGUCUAUGCAUAGUUCUCUUUGCAUGAGUAGAACACAAUUUGUUGUGGGCGUAGAUGUUGUCAACUUUCUUGCCACUACUAGUAUUAUUUUGCUUCAGCAGUAUUGUGGGAUGAAGCGGCCCAAACCAACCUUAUACGUAUGCUUACGUGAGACCGGUUCCACCGACUAACAUGCACUAGUUGCAUAAGGUGGCUGGCGGGUGUCUGUCUCUCCCACUUUAGUUGGAGCGGAUUCGAUGAAAAGGGUCCUUAUGAAGGGUAAAUAGAAGUUGACAAAUCACGUUGUGGCUUUCACGUAGGUAAGAAAACGUUCUUGCUAGAACCCUAUUGCAGCCACGUAAAACUUGCAACAACAAUUAGAGGACGUCUAACUUGUUUUUGCAGCAAGUGUUUUGUGAUGUGAUAUGGCCAAAGUUGUGAUGAAUGAUGAAUGAUAUAUAUGUGAUGUAUCAGAUGUUCAUGCUAUUGUAAUAGGAAUCACGACUUGCAUGUCGAUGAGUAUGACAACCGGCAGGAGCCAUAGGAGUUGUCUUUAUUUUUUGUAUGACUUGCGUGUCAUUGAGAAACGCCAUGUAAAUUACUUUACUUUAUUGCUAAACGUGUUAGCCAUAGUUGUAGAAGUAAUAGUUGGCGAGCAACUUCAUGGAGACAAGAUGAUGGAGAUCAUGAUGAUGGAGAUCAUGGUGUCAUGCCGGUGACAAGAUGAUCAUGGAGCCCCAAGAUGGAGAUCAAAGGAGCUAUGUGAUAUUGGCCAUAUCAUGUCACUAUUAUUAUUUGAUUGCAUGUGAUGUUUAUCAUGUUUUUGCAUCUUGUUUACUUAGAACGACGGUAGUAAAUAAGAUGAUCCCUCAUAAUAAUUUCAAGAAAGUGUUCCCCCUCACUGUGCGCUGUUGCGACAGUUCGUUGUUUCGAAGCACCACGUGAUGAUCGGGUGUGAUUCCAAUGUUCACAUACAAUGGGUGUAAGAUAGAUUUACACAUGCAAACACUUAGGUUGACUUGACGAGCCUAGCAUGUACAGACAUGGCCUCGGAACAAAGAAGACCGAAAGGUCGAGCAUGAGUCGUAUAGAAGAUACGAUCAACAUGAAGAUGUUCACCGAUGUUGACUAGUCCGUCUCACGUGAUGAUCGGACACGGCCUAGUUAACUCGGCUCAUGUUAUACUUAGAUGACUGGAGGGAUGUCUAUCUGAGUGGGAGUUCAUUAAAUAGAUGAACUUAAUUAUUAUGAACUUAGUCUAAAAUAUUUACAAUAUGUCUUGUAGAUCAAAUGGCCAACCUUGUCCUCACCUUCAACGCGUUCCUAGAGAAAACCAAGCUGAAAGACGAUGGCAGCAACUAUACGGACUGGGUCCGGAACCUGAGGAUCAUCCUCAUAGCUGCCAAGAAAGAUUAUGUCCUACAAGCACCACUAGGUGAAGCAUUUGUUCUCCCUGCAGAACAAGACGUUAUGAACGCUUGCCAGACACGUACCGAUGAUUACUCCCUCGUUCAGUGCGGCAUGCUUUACAGCUUAGAGCCGGGGCUCCAAAAGCGUUUUGAGAGACACGGAGCAUAUGAGAUGUUCCAAGAGCUGAAAAUGGUUUUUCAAACUCAUGCCCGGGUUAAGAGAUAUGAAGUCUCCGACAAGUUCUUCAGCUGUAAGAUGGAGAAAAACAGUUCUGUCAGUGAGCACAUACUCACUAUGUCUGGGUUACAUAACCGCUUGACUCAGCUGGGAGUUAAUCUCCCGGAUGACGCGGUCAUUGACAGAAUCCUUCAGUCGCUUCCACCGAGCUACAAGAGCUUUGUGAUGAACUUCAAUAUGCAGGGGAUGGAAAAGACCAUUCCUGAAGUAUUUGCAAUGCUGAAAUCAGCAGAGGUAGAAGUCAAAAAGGAACAUCAAGUGUUGAUGGUGAAUAAAACCACUAAGUUCAAGAAAGGCAAGGGUAAGAAGAACUUCAUGAAGGACGGCAAGCUGCCAGGAAGAAGCCAAAGAAUGGACGCAAGCCCGAGACUGAGUGCUUUUAUUGCAAGGAAAGUGGUCACUAGAAGCGGAACUGCCCCAAAUACUUAGCGGACAAGAAGGCCGGCAAAACGAAAGGUAUAUGUGAUAUACAUGUAAUUGAUGUGUACCUUACCAGUACUCGUAGUAGCUCCUGGGUAUUUGAUAUCGGUGCAGUUGCUCACAUUUGUAACUCAAAGCAGGAGCUGCGGAAUAAGCGGAGACUGGCGAAGGACGAGGUGACGAUGCGCGUCGGGAAUGGUUCCAAGGUCGAUGUGAUCGCCGUCGGCACGCUACCUCUACAUUUACCUACGGGGUUAGUUUUGAACCUCAAUAAUUGUUAUUUAGUGCCAAGUUUGAGCAUAAACAUUGUAUCAGGAUCUCGUUUAAUACGAGAUGGCUACUCAUUUAAAUCCGAGAAUAAUGGUUGUUCUAUUUAUAUGAGAGAUAUGUUUUAUGGUCAUGCUCCGAUGGUGAAUGGUUUAUUCUUAAUGAAUCUCGAGCGUAAUGCUACACAUAUUCAUAGUGUGAGUACCAAAAGAUGUAAGGUUGAUAAUGAUAGUCCCACAUACUUGUGGCACUGCCGCCUUGGUCACAUAGGUGUCAAACGCAUGAAGAAGCUCCAUGCAGAUGUACUUUUAGAGUCUCUUGAUUACGAAUCAUUUGACACGUGCGAACCAUGCCUCAUGGGUAAAAUGACCAAGACUCCGUUCUCAGGAACAAUGGAGCGAGCAACCAACUUAUUGGAAAUCAUACAUACUGAUGUGUGCGGUCCAAUGAGUGUUGAGGCUCGCGGUGGUUAUCGUUAUGUUCUCACCCUCACUGAUGACUUGAGUAGAUAUGGGUAUGUCUACUUAAUGAAACACAAGUCUGAGACCUUUGAAAGGUUCAAGGAAUUUCAGAGUGAGGUUGAGAAUCAACGUGACAGGAAAAUCAAGUUCUUGCGAUCAGAUCGUGGGGGAGAAUACUUGAGUCACGAAUUUCGCACACACUUAAGAAAAUGUGGAAUAGUUUCACAACUCACGCCGCCUGGAACACCUCAGCGUAAUGGUGUGUCCGAACGUCGUAAUCGCACUCUAUUAGAUAUGGUGCGAUCUAUGAUGUCUCUUACCGAUUUACCGCUAUCAUUUUGGGGCUAUGCUUUAGAGACUGACGCAUUCACUUUAAAUAGGGGAAGAAACCUAAGCUGUCGUUUCUAAAAGUUUGGGGAUGCGAUGCUUAUGUCAAGAAACUUCAACCUGAAAAGCUCGAACCCAAGUCGGAAAAAUGCGUCUUCAUAGGAUACCCUAAAGAAACUAUUGGGUAUACCUUCUACCUCAGAUCCGAAGGCAAGAUCUUUGUUGCCAAGAAUGGAUCCUUUCUAGAGAAGGAGUUUCUCUCGAAAGAAGUAAGUGGGAGGAAAGUAGAACUUGAUGAAGUAUUACCUCUUGAACCGGAAAAUGGCGCAACUCAAGAAAAUGUUCCUGAGGUGCCUGCACCAACUAGAGAGGAAGUUAAUGAUGAUGAUCAUGAAACUUUAGAUCAAGUUGCUACUAAACUUCGUAGGUCCACAAGGACACGUUCCGCACCAGAGUGGUACGGCAACCCUGUCUUGGAAAUCAUGUUGUUAGACAACGGUGAACCUUCAAACUAUGAAGAAGCGAUGGCGGGCCCGGAUUCUGACAAAUGGCUGGAAGCCAUGAAAUCCGAGAUAGGAUCCAUGUAUGAAAACGAAGUAUGGACUUUGACUGACUUGCCCGAUGAUCGGCGAGCCAUAGAAAAUAAAUGGAUCUUUAAGAAGAAGACAGACGCGGAUGGUAAUGUGACCAUCUAUAAAGCUCGCCUUGUCGCUAAGGGUUAUCGACAAGUUCAAGGGGUUGACUAUGAUGAGACUUUCUCACCGGUAGCGAAGCUGAAGUCCGUCUGAAUCAUGUUAGCAAUUGCCGCAUUCUAUGAUUAUGAGAUAUGGCAAAUGGACAUCAAAACGGCAUUCCUUAAUGGUUUCCUUAAGGAAGAAUUGUAUAUGAUGCAGCCGGAAGGUUUUGUCGAUCCUAAGAAUGUUGACAAGGUGUGCAAGCUCCAACGCUUGAUUUAUGGGCUGGUGCAAGCAUCUCGGAGUUGGAACAUUCGCUUUGAUGAGAUGAUCAAAAUGUUUGGGUUUAUGCAGACUUAUGGAGAAGCCUGCGUUUACAAGAAAGUGAGUGGGAGCUCUGUAGCAUUUCUCACAUUAUAUGUAGAUGACAUACUUUUGAUGGGAAGUGAUAUAGAGCUUUUGGACAGCAUUAAGGCCUACUUGAAUAAGAGUUUUUCAAUGAAGAACCUUGGAGAAGCUGCUUAUAUAUUAGGCAUCAAGAUCUAUAGAGAUAGAUCAAGACGCCUCAUAGGUCUUUCACAAAGCACAUACCUUGAUAAGAUAUUGAAGAAGUUCAAUAUGGAUCAGUCUAAGAAGGGGUUCUUGCCUGUGUUGCAAGGUGUGAAAUUGAGCUCAGCUCAAUGUCCGACCAUGGCAGAAGAUAUAGAAGAGAUGAGUGUCAUCCCCUAUGCCUCAGCCAUAGGUUCUAUUAUGUAUGCCAUGCUGUGUACCAGACCUCAUGUAAACCUUGCCGUAAGUUUGGUAGGUAGGUACCAAAGUAAUCCCGGCAAGGAACACUGGACAGCGGUCAAGAAUAUCCUGAAGUACCUGAAAAGGACUAAGGAAAUGUUUCUCGUUUAUGGAGGUGACGAAGAGCUCGUCGUAAAGGGUUACGUCGACGCUAGCUUCGACACAGAUCUGGAUGACUCUAAGUCACAAACCGGAUACGUGUAUAUUUUGAAUGGUGGGGCAGUAAGCUGGUGUAGUUGCAAGCAGAGCGUCGUGGCGGGAUCUACAUGUGAAGCGGAGUACAUGGCAGCCUCGGAGGCAGCGCAUGAAGCAAUUUGGGUGAAGGAGUUCAUCACCGACCUAGGAGUCAUACCCAAUGCGUCGGGGCCAAUCAAACUCUUCUGUGCCAACACUGGAGCCAUUGCACUUGCCAAGGAGCCCAGGUUUCACAAGAAGACCAGGCACAUCAAGCGUCGCUUCAACUCCAUUCGUGAAAAUGUUCAAGAUGGAGACAUAGAUAUUUGUAAAGUACAUACAGACCUGAAUGUAGCAGAUCCGUUGACUAAACCUCUCCCUAGAGCAAAACAUGAUCAACACCAGAAUUCCAUGGGUGUUCGAUUCAUCACAAUGUAACUAGAUUAUUGACUCUAGUGCAAGUGGGAGACUGUUGGAAAUAUGCCCUAGAGGCAAUAAUAAAAGGAUUAUUAUUAUAUUUCCUUGUUCAUGAUAAUUGUCUUUUUAUUCAUGCUAUAAUUGUGUUAUCCGGAAAUCGUAAUACAUGUGUGAAUACAUAGACACCGACAUGUCCCUAGUAAGCCUCUAGUUGACUAGCUCGUUGAUCAACAGAUAGUCAUGGUUUGCUGACUAUGGACAUUGGAUGUCAUUGAUAACGAGAUCACAUCAUUAGGAGAAUAUCUGAUGGACAAGACCCAAUCUUAACAUAGCACAAGAUCGUAUAGUUCGUUUGCUAGAGUUUUUCCAAUGUCAAGUAUCUUUUCCUUAGACCAUGAGAUCGUGUAACUCCCGGAUACCAUAGGAGUGCUUUGGGUGUACCAAACGUCACAACGUAACUGGGUGACUAUAAAGGUAUACUACGGGUAUCUCCGAAAGUGUCUGUUGGGUUGACACGGAUCAAGACUGGGAUUUGUCACUCCGUAUGACGGAGAGGUAUCUCUGGGCCCACUCGGUAAUGCAUCAUCAUAAUGAGCUCAAAGUGACCAAGUGUCUGGUCACGGGAUCAUGCAUUACGGUACGAGUAAAGUGACUUGCUGGUAAAGAUUGAACGAGGUAUUGGGAUACCGACGAUUGAAUCUCGAGCAAGUAACGUACCGAUUGACAAAGGGAAUUGUAUACGGGGUUGCUUGAAUCCUCGACAUCGUGGUUCAUCCGAUGAGAUCAUCGAGGAGCAUGUGGGAGCCAACAUGGGUAUCCAGAUCCUGUUGUUGGUUAUUAACCGGAGAGCCGUCUCGGUCAUGUCUACAUGUCUCCCGAACCCGUAGGGUCUACACACUUAAGGUUCGGUGACGCUAGGGUUGUAGAGAUAUGAAUAUGCAGUAACCCGAAAGUUGUUCGGAGUCCCGGAUGAGAUCCCGGACGUCACGAGGAGUUACGAAAUGGUCCAGAGGUGAAGAAUUAUAUAUAGGAAGUGAUGUUUCGGCCAUCGAGAGAGUUUUGGGGGUCACUGGUAUUGUACCGGGACCACCGGAUGGGUCCCGGGGGUCCACCGGGUGGGACCACCCAUCCCGGAGGGCCCCAUGGGCUGAAGUGGGGAGGGGAACCAGCCCAUAGUGGGCUGGUGCGCCCCCCUUGGCCCACCCCCUGCGCCUAGGGUUGGAAACCCUAGGGUGGGGGGGCGCCCCACUUGCCUUGGGGGCCACUCCACCCUUGGCCGCCGCCCCCCCUAGGAGAUCCCAUCUCCUAGGGCCGGCACCACCCCUUGGGGAGCCUAUAUAAAGGGGGGAGGGAGGGGCAGCCGCCCCCUUGACUCUUGGCGCCUCCCUCUCCCCUGCUACACCUCUCCCUCUCGCAGAAGAACGGCGAAGCCCUGCUGCGGUGACUGCUGCAUCCACCACCACGCCGUCGUGCUGCUGGAUCUUCAUCAACCUCUCCUUCCCCCUUGCUGGAUCAAGAAGGAGGAGACGUCACGCUGACCGUACGUGUGUUGAAUGCGGAGGUGCCGUCCGUUCGGCGCUAGGAUCUCCGGUGAUUUGGAUCACGACGAGUACGACUCCCUCAUCCCCGUUCUUUGAACGCUUCCACUCGCGAUCUACAAAGGUAUGUAGAUGCAUCCGAUCACUCGUUGCUAGAUGAACUCAUAGAUGGAUCUUGGUGAAAACGUAGGAUUUUUUUUUCUGCAACGUUCCCCAACACUAGCUACUAACUAUGGACCCGUGGGUCUGAUGUAAACUACUCACACUUCAUCGGAGGGGCUUGGAUGAUGAUGUAGAAGCCCUCCGUGAUCGAUGCCCCCUCCGUCGGAGCUCCGGAAUAGGCCCCAAGAUGGGAUCUCGUGGAUACAGAAAGUUGCGGCGGUGGAAUUAGGUUUUUGGCUCCGUAUCUGAUCGUUUGGGGGUACGUGGAUAUAUAUAGGAGGAAGAAGUACGUCGGUGGAGCAACAGGGGGCCCACGAGGGUGGAGGGAGCGCCUGGGGAGCAGGCGUGCCCCCUACCUCGUGGCCUCCUGUUAAUUGGCUUGACGUAGGGUCCAAGUCUCCUGAGUUGUAUUCGGUGAGAAAAUUACGUUCCCGAAGGUUUCAUUCCGUUUGGACUCCGUUUGAUAUUCCUUUUCUUUGAAACCCUAAAACAGGCAAAAAACAGCAAUUCUGGGCUGGGCCUCCGGUUAAUAGGUUAGUCCCAAAAAUAAAAUAAAAGUGGAUAAUAAAGCCCAAUAAUGUCCAAAAUAGUAGAUAAUAUAGCAUGGAGCAAUCAAAAAUUAUAGAUACGUUGGAGACGUAUCAUCCGUCGGUUACAUAAAUUAUAUGAAUUGUGGUGAUCUUUUAGUGAUUGUUUAUGUGGAUUGUGUGCGUGUCUAUGUCCAUUUGAUGAUCUUCGUAGUGUGAACACGGAGCAGUCGCAUGCACCGCGAAACGGGGUGGAUGGACCUCUUGACUGGCGCGCCACUUCAAUGUUUGAACGACAUGAGAGGUCACCUCCACUUUUGGUCGGCAUGAAUGCGACACUUGAGUGGCGUUGACCGCUUCAGGCGGGAAAGUGUGCAGACGAGGAAGAGGGUUUGGAUAUGCCAGGUUUAUCAAAUGCUUGCACGACAGUGAUCUGAACACCUGCAAAGCCCUACCUCGAUUUGCUUCUGGUUGACUACAAAAAGAGUUAAAUGCACUGGAGGUCCUAAAAGUUUCAUAGGUUUUUCACUUUAGUUCCAAUUCUUCCAAACUGCACCAUUAGUUCCUAUUUAGUAAGUGGUUCAUCCGAGGUCCUUUUUCUCACAAGCGCUCGCUGACCUGCCGCGUGGCGCGUUGACUGAUGCCACAUCGACUAAGGGCCCAACCGCUAGGCGAGAAAAAUACAUUGGAGGUCCUAAAAGUUUCUGGGGCAAUGUCACUUUAGUCCUACUUUUUCAAAAUUCAUGUUUGAUCCUAAUUCUAUAGUAAGUGGUUGACCCAGGUCCUAUUUUGCUCGAUCGUUCGCUGGCCUGCUUGCAUGACGUGUUGACCCAUGCCAUGUCAACUUAGAGGCCGCUGUGGUUGCUCUUUCUUGACACAAAGCCCCUUGUAACCCCCCUCUUGACAUUUCUCAUCCCCUGUCAAAUCUCUCUCUCUCUCUCUCGUGCCCACAACACUGCCAUGGCCAGGGCAGCAAGCUCCUUGGCAGGGAAGCGGGUGACGAAGAGGAGCGUUACAUCAUCAUCAGCGGCAUUGCCUCCUCCACAAGCUCCUACCGCAUAACCUCAAAUCAGAGCAAGCGUGUCGGCGUUCUGGGAACGGGGGUCCCCAGACUUGCCUGCCUGCGGCCUAUGGCGUGGCUCGAGUGGGGGCCCAGUGCGGCCCAGCUUCAUCAGCUCAAGCUCAAGACCCUCGCAAGGGGCCAAGCCUUGCGGGGCGGACGACAGGAGGCUUGCUCAGGAGCAGCCUCAUCAGGUAGGCUCGCGAGGAGGUGGAGAGAUCAAGGCAGGGGUGCCUCGCGAGGAGCCCGUGACGCAAGCCAUGACGAUCGAGAUUAGGCGGGCGCCGGCCUGCGCAGUGUCCUUGUUUCCCCUUCGGUGCAAAGGGAGCAAGCACAGGCCAAGGCAUCGGGUAAAGGUUACCAUUCCGGUGCAACGAGACCAAGACCAGUAGAGCGGCAGGACGGAGGUCACCGUGGAGCCCAAGAUGGCGUCAUCACCAGUGCUUUUGGCAGUCGAAGACCACCUUUGGUCAGGAUAACUUGUACUAGAUGUUCCUCUUCAAAAUGGCCAAUUGUUGGCGCCCUUCCCGCUCAUUAUUUGGGAAGAGGAGCAGGGCCUCUAUAAAUAGGACUAGCCCCUGAAGAGAGGAGGGAAGGGAGAAAAAGAAGGGAAAGGAGAUAGAGAAGAGAAAGAGAGAUCCGGACCAAGUAGAACACACCGCACCAGCUCAAGAACACCUCUUGCGAGGCCGUUCUUCCCCCUGUAUUGUUUAUCAUCAACCCCUGAGGCAAUCCACCACACCACACACUGGAUUUCUUGCGUGUUCUUCUUUCCAGCCUAGAUUUCCAGCCUAGAUUUCUUGCGAGACAUAGAAGCGCGAGUUGGUAGGGGAAAGAUCUUCGUGCGCACCCCAGAGUUUGAACCUUAAGGGUCCGCCGGAACUCGAAAUCCGAUAUUUGGCGCGCCAGGUAGGGGUGCGCCGGAAUAUUUCUUCCGUUGUUCGCGUGUGAUCUUCCGUCGUGUCCAUGGCUGACGCUCGUCGGGCUCGCACCGAGCGUCGGGCUGCUCUCGCCACCCGCGUCGCCCAGAUGGCGCCCGUCGUCGGACGCCCUCGUCGUUCCCCGUCGCCUGCCGCCAACACCGCCACCAGCCCGGUGGGGAACGAGCAGCAGGCCUCAUCCCAGCAUCCUUCGAUGUGGCGGGAGGGCCGCACCGCAACCCCGUCACUGACUCCAACCGGUUCGUUGUCCCACGCCCGUCGCGUCCCCACGAACGCGCACGCCACGCUGCUCCUGGUAAGAGAGCUCUUGCACUACCGCCCCGUCGACGACCUCUACGAGGACUGGGUCGCCCGCAUCACCGAGCUCGUCAGCGCCGCAGGGGGCUCUCCCUUGUCGUCCCUAUCACUGCCUCGCCCUCCAUUCCGCGCAGGGGGCGAGGAUCAGGAGGCGCCCCCGCCACCUCCUCCCCAAGAAGGCGCCCUGGCUCCAAGGCGCGCAGCCCCAGGGCGAGACCCUCCACGUCCGGUGCCUGCGCGGCAAGAAGGGAGCUGCCAAGAGAUCCCUCGUCCCCAAGAAGGUGCUCGCGCGCUCCCAGCACUGGCGCGCCAAGAUCGCGUCCCUGCGCCUCCACGCCGAGACCCCGCGCUGCUCCAAGCGGCAGCACAUGGUAAUCACCAGGAGCAGGCCCAACACCAGCAAAGGGCACCGGUGGCCACAGCAGGCUGUCGCGCCUUCACCCCUGAGCUACGCGGCGUCACAUGGCCAGGCAAGUUCAAGCCUGAUCUGCCCCCUCGCUACGAUGGCACGGCGGACCCCGCAGAAUUCCUGCAGCUCUACGAGCUAGGCAUUGAAGCCGCCAACGGAGACGAAAAGGUCAUGGCAAACUGGUUUCCCGUGGCGCUCAAGGACGGCGCCCGCACCUGGCUCCCAGCACGAUCUCCUCUUGGGACGAGAUGCGCACUCGCUUCAUCGCCAACUUCCAGGGCACUCGCGAUCGGCCCCCGGCCAUAAGCGACCUGCGCCGCAUCAAGCAACAGCUAGGGGAGACCCUACAGAAAUACAUCCAGCGCUUCAACAACGCUCGCCUCAAGAUCCCCAGGGUGACUGAGAAAGCCAUUAUCUCAGCCUUCUCCGAUGGCGUGCGCGACAUCAAGAUGAAGGAGGAGCUGGCAAUCCAUGAAGACCUGUGCACAUCCCUGGAGCUGUUCAACUUGGCGACCAAGUGCGCCAGGGCUGAGGAAGGAUGCCUCUCCCUCCUCGAGCUCCCAGCUGCCGACCCAGAAGAGAAAAAGCCCAAGGCCAAGGACGUGAAGCGUAAGGGAGCUACCGUGCUCGCAGCGGAACCAGACACCAAGCGAGGCAGGGAUCAGCCUGAGUCAUCCAAGCGCAACCGAUACUGCGUGUACCACGACCACCACACCCACAACACCAACGAAUGCUAAGAGCUCAGGGCCAUGUGAGAUGGGCGUAUCGGCCGACGCCCUGAGCGCAACGACAGGGGCUAUGGCCGAAGAGGAGCAAGAGGUGGAGGACGAUGGGAAGAUCGUUGCCCUCGCCAAGGGUGGCGUGACCGACCUCGCGAGGAUCGCUGGCAGGACCAGCCUCGCGAGGGAGGCUGGAGGGAUCAGCAUCGUGAGGUCGCCCGCACGGCAACGCAGGCCUCCCGCCUCUACCGCCACCAUCAAGAAGGAACGAAGACCAACAUCAAGACGAGGGGGCUGGGGGCUUCGAGGAGCAGCGCAAUCGCUUGCAUCUUGGGUGGCACCCAGGCCCCAGCAUCACAGUGCAUCUUCAAGCAGUUUGCUCGCGAGGUGAAUGCAGUCCUCCCCAAGCUUGAGGCCACGUGCCCUCUCAGGUGGUCUGCAUGCGCCAUCACGUUCAGCUCAGCGGAUCAGCUCAAGUGCGUGGCAAUGGCCGGAGUUCUCCCGAUGCUUUGCUCCCCAGUCAUCGGCAAUGUGCAGGUCACCAGGACCCUCGUUGAUGGCGGAGCAGGACUCAACGUCCUGUCCGUCAAGACGUUCGACAAUCUCCAAGUGCCGUAUGAUCAGCUCCAGCCGACCAAGCCUUUUUCAGGAGUCACUGAUGGUUCCACUGUUCCGAUAGGGCAAGUUCGCCCGCCAGUCACCUUCGGGCAGCGCAACAACUACCACACCGAGCUCAUCGACUUAGACGUCGCCCACAUUCGCCUACCAUACAAUGCCAUCCUCGGGUACCCAGCCCUAGCCAAGUUCAUGGCAGUGACUCACCACGGCUACAAUGUCCUCAAGAUGCCAGGAAGCGGUGGAGUCAUCACUGUACCCUGUGAGGAAAGGGACACGGUGUGUUCACUUGAGCGUGCAUUCCAAGCCGCAGCAAUCGAAGACCCAGAUCACAGGAGCGGAAGACUUCCCGAGGCGACCCUUAAGAAGAAGAAGGCUUCGCCUGGCCCAAGCCAUAAGGAGGCAGACGCCUCCAGAGGCGUUGCGUCAGGAUUUGCGCCCGUUUAGGGAGCGCCACCAUCUGUCGCAUAGGAAAGCGCGCCCGGCGCCCUCCUCGGGCAGGGCUCGGGGCUCUUUCUUGGAGAGCCACCAACUUUGCCAAGGUCACGAGGGAGGCGCUCGGGAACCACUUGGAGGGGUGCUUCCAGGCACGUUUCCCCCAGGAAGGUACGAGGCAAGGAAGAACAAACCCUCAGGAGUUCAUCGCAGGAAACACUCAGGAGCUACAGGAGUCGAGAGUCAUGCACGGCAGCCGCCGCUUGCCCGCCAUGGCCCCACAUCCAGGCGAGGAUGGUGGGCUGUGCGUCUGCAUCGAUGCGCCAGGGCUCAACCGAGCCGCAUCUUAGGAACGCCUCUGGCCUUCGUGCGUGGGGCGUUGCGAGGGUCCACCUCACAGCUACGUAGCAUGCCUUUCGGGAACGCGGUCGCCGCUCAUCAGCGCCUGCUGAGGAGCAUUCUGGAGGCUCGGGAGGUCAGACAUUAUGCGGUCCUCGCGGAGGUGGAGAUGGCCCUCGAAGACCUACCCGUGCCCCCGGAGCCUCCCGAGGCUCCUGGGCCUGGGGGCUCGUGAGGGUCGAUGUCUUCACCACGCGUCGCCCACUUCUUUGGCAUCACUUCAUCUUCAACGGCAUCAGGUGACAUCUUCCAAGUUCCAUUUUUAGCUGGGAGAGCCCACAGGGCCGCGUCAUUCCCAGGUCGCGUGGGUCCGUCCUUGCGGCACAUAUCCGUUUUGCUUAUGCUCUUUACCUACCUUGUUGGGGGCACCCCUCGGGCUGCAUCAUCCCCAAGCUGCUCGGGCCUGGCCCAGCGGCGUUUGCUUUUCCCGCAUCUACCUGAAACGGAUUUGCUCCUUCUUACUUAACAUACCUGACCUAAUCGCCUGCUCGAUUGAUAUCUACCCAUGGACCCGCUCACUCUGGCACGAAGUCUGCGUACGGGUCCGUCCCUGCAACGCUGAUAAAUCUGAGUGGUCGAGCUCUGGCCGCGGCAGCCCCGCAAGGCACCACCUCACCAGGCCCUCAGUGCCCCAAUCACUCCCUCGGAGCGACCAAUGGUUGGCUGGCAACCAUAGCGAUAGGUCUUGUCUCUCCUUGUGAUUGGUAUGCAAGACCCACUCCAGGAGAAACGUUGGGGACAUCGCGGGCUAUCUCUCCCUCUCUCCGGCAUGGACCGCUUGCACGUUAAAAGGGGGGCGCCUGACCAUGGCGACUCAUGGGCUCCUACUGGCUCUCCAGACCUCACCUCCUGGCCUUGACCCACGGCAUCGCGACCUGUCAUACCAGUGGCGGCUGAGAUCGCUCGAGGGCCGGGACCUGAGGACGUAGAGCAUUAAGGAUAGUGUGGGGAAGUGGGAAGAAGCUCGCGAGGACCUAACCCAGCAGCACCUCAGCUACCGCCACUGGGGCCGGGCGCCCCGUCGAAGAACUACCCCAAACUCAAAAGAUAAGUCACGCCCUUACAUGAGCUAGAACAACGCAACACCAAACCCUCUCCUAGUGCAGCUCUGUCACGACAACGUUGCCUUCCUUUCUCGCCCAGUGAGGGCUGCUCGAGCGCUAAAGGGGACCUCCCGAGCAUCGCCACUCGGGGGCUCUUACCGGACCUCGGGUCGCUCACCUCCUGGCCUUGACCAUGGCAUCGCGGUCUGGCAUACCAGCGACGGCUGAAGCCUGCCUGGGGACUGGGACUUGUUAGCGUAGAGCGCUAAGUCCUCGUGAGGAUAGAAAGGGGGAGCCGAGCCGGGACAGGACAAGCAUCUCGCAUCGAUUCAUAUUAGGGAUAUAAUGUUCGCAAAAGACAUGGCACGCGCCUUACAUACCCCCACGGGGUGUUGCUUCGAUUCCUCGCAGGGAACAAAUGGUGCUAAUCCUAAGGAACACUAAUUGUUCGCGCCUCCGCAAGCGAUGCCAUCAUCAACAGUGGACUGCCCGGCACCAGCGCCAACCCCACCCAGAUCAGUGGUGUCGGCGGCCCGAUGCAGUUGCCCUACUCCGAGCACGGCGCGAGCUCGGAGGCUCGUAGCUGUCGUCGCUCGUCUCCGGAGUCAUGAGAAGCUCGGGGGAGCCGCUGGAUUCCCCAGCUCCUCUGCUGCCGCCUGAAGAGCUGCUGGAGGGCCGAUGGACAGGCCAGGUCCUCGCUAGUCCGAUGCCCCUACCGCUUUCCUUGGGGCAGCACUCCAACCGGCGUCCUUCAGCAUCGAAGACCUUGAAGAACAUCAGGGAGGCAUCGUCGUUUUCAAGAUGAAUUAUGAGGGCACCCUCCGUCCGGCAGACCCGUGCGAUCUCACCCCAGCCCCGGGUCAUGUAGACCUUGCCCGGAGCGGCGACCGCGACCUCCCCUCCGGUCGCGAGGGUGCUGCAGUCGGCGUGCUGCAGCCAAAGCUCCAGACACCCGCUCGGCGGCAUCUCGAAGGCGAAGGAGGGAGGAAGGCGGAUCCAAGAGCAUGGGGGCAUGGCGGUGUGAAGCACGAGCUCACAGGAGGAGCCCUCGGUGUGGACUCCAGGAGGAACGACGCGCACCGUCGUGACUCGCCGGCGUCGGCGGUGGCACCGUCAGUGUCGCUCGACGCCCUCUUCCCUAGGGCCCUCGAUUCGGGCGUACAAGGGCAGUGGAAACCCAGGCGGCAGCCGCUUGUACCAGGGCCUCGAUGCCUCCUGCCAAGCAACCUCAUCUCAGCGGCAGGGGACUAGCCAUUUCUUCGGCGGAAGAGGGUCAAGACCUUCUCGGGGGGCCUUUCCUUUCUCUUCUGCAGAAAACCGGCGGAUUGGUGCCAUUGGCGUAAGGAGAAGCAAGGACGAGGAAGAGGAAGGAAAGGAGUAGCAGGAAGGGAUAAGCUAACGAGGCUCAUGCAGCCCCGUACUUAUAGCCGGAGAAGGCCAACCGUCGGCCACCACGAUCGCAGGUAAUCAUGACCCAUUUCUCUGCAUGCAGGGACUUGUCAAGUUGAGCGGUUGCCGAUGCAUCGUGGGGAAGCGCAGACGCCCAUGUCCAACCAAUCGCCACGCGGAACCCAAGGCCGCAGGAUAUUGGGGCCCGCGGCGCUUCGCGCUUGCCCCUUCACUUCUCUGCUAAGCCAAGCCCGGGCGCGCCUCGGGCCCGGGGGCUACUGUCGGCAUUCUGGGAACGGGGGUCCCCAGACUUGCCUGCCUGCGGCCUGCGGCAUGGCUCGAGUGGGGGCCCAGUGCGGCCCAGCUUCAUCAGCUCAAGCUCAAGACCCUCGCAAGGGGCCAAGCCUUGCGGGGCAGACGACAGGAGGCUUCCUCAGGAGCAGCCUCAUCAGGCAGGCUCGCGAGGAGGCGGAGAGAUCAAGGCAGGGGUGCCUCGCGAGGAGCCCGUGACGCAAGCCAUGAUGAUCGAGAUUAGGUGGGCGCCAGGCGGGCGCCGGCCUACGCAGUGUCCUUGUUUCCCCUUUAGUGCAAAGGGAGCAAGCACAGGCCAAGGCAUCGGGCAAAGGUUACCAUUCCAAUGCAACGAGACCAAGACCAGCAGAGCGGCAGGACGGAGGUCACCAUGGAGCCCAAGACGACGUCAUCAUCAGUUCUUUUGGCAGCCGAAGACCACCUUUGGUCAGGAUAACUUGUACUAGAUGUUCCCCUUCAAAAUGGCCAAAUGUUGGCGCACUUCCCGCUCAUUAUUUGGGAAGAGGACCAGGGCCUCUAUAAAUAGGACUAGCCCCCGAAGAGAGGAGGGAAGGGAGAAAAAGAAGGGAAAGGAGAGAGAGAAGAGAAAGAGAGAAAGAGAGAUCCGGACCAAGUAGAACACACCAAACCAGCUCAAGAACACCUCUCGCGAGGCCGUUCUUCCCCCUGUAUUGUUCAUCAUCAGCCCAUGAGGCAAUCCACCACACCACACACUGGAGUAGGGUAUUACACCACAUCGGUGGACCGAACCAGUAUAAACCUCGUGUCCUUUGUGUGUUCUUCUUUACAGCCUAGAUUUCUUGCGAGCCAUAGAAGCGCGAGUCGGUAGGGGAAAGAUCUUCGUGCGCACCCCAGAGUUCAAACCUUAAGGGUCUGCCGGAACCCAAAAUCCGACCAAGCAGUUUGAGAAACUUAAUGAAACAGUGCAAAUCAAACUAAAUCAAUGCCUACAUGUAGUGAUUGUGGUAGAGUAGAGAAAAUCACAUAGCCGUGUCCAGUGAUUUUCACCCAACCGGUGUGCACGGGGUGUCCAGUAACUUUUGUUGUACCCUGUGCGCACGGGGGUCAGAUACCACGUGCACACGGGUGAGGGAGUCCUGGACUAAGGGGUCCUCGGGCGUUCGGCUUGUUAUCUAUGGGCUGGACUGAUGGGCUAUGAACACGUGAAGACCGAAGACUACACCCGUGUCCGUAUAGGACUCUUCUUGGCGUGGAAGGCAAGCUUAGCGAACAACUAUGAAGAUUCCAUCUUAUGUAACCGACUCUAUGUAACCCUAGAUCCCCUCGGUGUCUAUAUAAACCGGAGGGUUUAGUCCGAAUAGGAUGGACUCAAUACCUUGGUCAUACAGGCUAGACUUCUAGGGUUUAGCCAUUACGUUCUCGUGGUAGAUCAACUCUUGUAAUACUCGUAUUCAUCAAUAUCAAUCAAGCAGGACAUGGGGUAUUACCUCCAUUAAGAGGGCUCGAACCUGGGUAAAACUUCGUGUCCCCUGUCUCCUGUUACUGUCAACCUUAGACGCAUAGUUCGGGACCCCCUACCUGAGAUCCGCCGGUUUUGACACCGACAUUGGUGCUUUCAUUGAGAGUUUCGUUGUGCUGUCGUUAAAAGGUUUGCUGGCCCCUUCAAUCGUCAAUAAUGGCGCUGUCUAUGGAGAAGCUUUCCUCCUCAGACAGAUCUUCGUGUUCGGCGGCUUCGCACUGCGGGCAAACUCAUUUGGCCAUAUGGAGCAGAUCGAAAGCUACGCCCCUGGCCAUCAGGUCAGAUUCGGGAGCUUGAACUAUGCCAUGGACAUCCGUGGAGACUUGAUCUUCGCUGGAUUCGAUACCACAGUAGCCGCUCCCGAUCACCCUGAUGAUCAUGACCUAAAUCUGUCAUCGGGCCGCAUCCAGGAGAUCGCUCCUGUAACCGCUCUAGCCCUAUAGCCGGAGCAGGCCGCGCCAUCCAAAGACGAGAAGAUUAACCCCACCACAGAGGCGGGAGGCCGCAGAUCCCACGGCGUUGGAGCCGCACAUGGACCUGGCCUCACUCGACGCCUAUGCCACCGAAACACUGGACUCAUCUCCGGCUGUAGGUUCCGAACCACGCGAGCCCGCGGAUGUCGUGCUUGAUUGUUUAUCGAUCUUCGAAUUCAGCACCGCAGACAUCUUCCAUCACUCGCCUUUGGGCGACGUGCCAAACUCAUUAAAAAACAUGUCCUUGGUGGAGGGCUCUUGGCUGAGCUAUAUCCGGCUCGAGCUAGGGGCUGACGAUGGAGAAUUUUGCUUCCCACCUGCCACCCACUUCAUAGCAACAGUCGAGGAUUCGACCGAAACACUGGAUUACAACUCCGAGAAUAUUGACGGCAUGGACAAUGAUGCCGAAGACAACGAAGACCCCAUUGAUACAAUUAACGAUGAACGGGACGACAGGCAGGAUAGCCCCGGUAAACAGGCCACGCAUGAAGAUUCGGAGGAUGACAAUUACCUUCCACUCUCUGAGGAUGAGGAGAGCCUCGGUGCCGAAGAUUUCAUCGUGCCUGAGAACCUUGUGAGCAGGAGCGCCUAAAGCGCCAACUAAUAGCCACUGCAAGGAGCCUGAAGAAGAAGAAGCGGCAGCUUCAAGCUGACCAAGAUCUGCUUAAUGAUAGAUGGACCAAAGUCCUAGCCGCCGAAAAAUACGGCCUUGGUGGCCCAGCCAAAAGCUACCCGAAGCAUAUACCGCUACCCCAGGGCGACGAUAAGGCGUUCGAGCCCGUGCGAUCAUCGCACAAUGCGGCAGGUCGACCACAACUUGGUCCGGUUAAAGCGGCAACUCAAGCCGAACAACAGACGGCCCCACCUCGCUGUAAAGGCAAGAACAAAACAGCUCAAGGUUGUACAUACAACCUUCAACAGGGCUGGGGCAGUAAAACAGGAUACCCAAGAGCGAUCUACGAAUCGCAAGGACACACCUCGACACGUGACGACGACCACCUAUUCAGACGCGACAAACCUAGCCACGCCUGGGUUGAAAACCACAAAUGGACUCUGUCAGAGGUACGCCGCAGUGUGGCCCAACAUAGAGGCACCGCACACCCUCUAUGCUUCAUAAAUGAAGUAAUGGAGCAUGAAUUCCCAGUCGGGUUCAAACCCAUGAAUAUCGAAUCAUAUGAUGGAACAACGGAUCCCGGGGUAUGGAUUGAGGAUUUCCUCCAUCAAAUCCACAUGGCCUGCGGAGAUGACCUUCACGCCAUCAAAUACCUACCACUAAAACUCAAAGGACCAGCUCGGUACUGGUUAAACAGUCUGCCGGAAAAUUCUAUUGGUAGCUGGGAGGACUUGGAGGACGCCUUUCGCAACAACUUCCAAGGAACAUAUGUCCGGCCACCGGACGCCGAUGACCUAAGUAAUAUUGUCCAGCAGCCCGGAGAGUCGGCAAGGAAGCUCUGGACCAGGUUCUUAGUUAAAAAGAACCAAAUCAUCGACUGUCCGAACGUGGAAGCCUUUGCGGCCUUCACACACAGCGUCCGGGAUGAAUGGCUUGCAUGCCACCUCGGUCAAGAAGGACCUAGAUCCAUGACAGCCCUUACCGCUCUAAUGACCCGCUUUUGCGUGGGAGAAGACAGCUGGCUCGCUUGUAGAAGUAAUAGCACUAGCGACUCGGGCACUUCCGAAAUCCGAGAUGGCAAUGGCAAGCCACGACGAAGCAAAUACAACAGUCGCAAUGAUAAUGAUAGAUCACGCGACACAGCGGUUAACGCCAGAUUCAGCAAUCCCAAGCCCGGUCAACGGAAAAAGCCAUUCAAGGCGAAUAGAGACGGACCAUCCAACCUAGAUAGGAUACUAGACCGACCUUGCCAGAUACACGGCCACCCCAACAAACCAGCCAAUCAUACCAACAGAAGUUGUUGGGUCCUCAAGCAGGCCGGCAAGCUCAACACCGAACAAAAGGGAAGGGGGCCGCAAGCCAAUAGGGACGACGGAAUGGUUCAAUAGCCAAAUGCAGAGGGCCAGAAGCAACUUCCCCCCGAAGAUCGAUCAAAUCCGGAGAAAUAGCAGUUCGGCUUCCGCCACCCAUCUCAUAUACACGAUGAAGCUAUACCAUGUGUCGUGGAUUUGUCACGGCAGGUGUCCUAGCGAAAGGACUUAGUCGUGGAGCCAUCGCUACGAGUUUACUUGAAGGGGUUAAAGCGGACACAAAGACACGAGGGUUUUAUACUAGUUCGGCCCCUUCGAUGAAGGUAACAGCCUACGUCUAGUUGUGGUGGAAUUGAUAUGAUCUCGAUGGCUAGGGAGCAAACAAGCUUUGCCUAGGCUCGAGUUGUUGUUGUCUCCCUUGAACCGCCGCCGGGUCGUCCCCUUAUAUACACGGGUGACGCCCGUCGGUCCAUAGAGUCCCAGCCGGUUCAUAUUCGUAUCCCGGUCGGUAUCUCUCUAUUCCUAACUUACAAUACAAGUUAUACAUCAGGUCGGUUUACAGCUACAGAUUCUAAACCGACUAUAGGCCUUGGGCCUUCACCUGCUUAUACCACUAUGAAGUUAACCCGGCCCAAGUAGGCCGGUUUACGCCCAGUGGUAAUAUCCCCAACAUUAGGCCCCAGAUUGAUUUGAACUGGUUCAUGUCAAUCCUUCACACCAUCUUGCGUCUUGGAUGUCUUCUGUUAAUUGGCAAAUCUCCAUGUCGUCAUCAUUUUUGGUUGCUGUAAACCGGCAUGACGUCAUCAGUUUUGGCUACUAUAAACCGGCAUGACGUCAUUAUGAAAUUCAUAACGCCCUCUUAAUGACAGCUCCUGGAUUCGCGCGUUUGACCUAGCUCAGUUGCCUUAUAAAUAAGACCGAAGGGUCAUUUCCUUUCUCUUCCCCUUCGUCCCUUCUUCUUCUUCUUCCUCACGUCGCCGGCUUUGGAGCUCCGCCACCACCGUCGACCUCUGCCUCGUCUCAGGCUGCUGCAUCAACCUGUACGUACCAGAGUGUUGCGGCGUCUUUCCGCAUCUUCUCCGUUCCCGGCAAGUCCUCUCUCCUUCUUAAUCUAGAUCUGUUCUUAGGGUUUCAUGUUCUUGCUAUGUUCAUUGCGUGUUCAUGGCUGUUCUCUGUCCCUGAAUGCAUCUGUGAACUUUUACUGUGCUUAAUAGCGAUCCCUUUAGUAUCCGCUUGCUAUUUCUCAUCCAAGCUCAUAAAUCUCCUGCACAUAUCUGCUCGAUAGUUCACUUCUGUUUCCGCCUUAGUCUUCGAAAUUUUUCCUGUUUUUUAUGAGCUUGUUGUAGAUCCGCGGCUGUAACAUAAUUUUGUGAAACUUGUUUCUGCAUAACCAGUUAUCCAUAGUUUCAAUUGCUUCCGAUGCUUAGGCCAGGCGGUUUAACUUCACCAUAGAGAAAAAAUUACUAGACCGGUAUAUAUGUCAUUAGUCCCCUGGUUGAACCGCCAGAAUCCAUCUGAUGCUGCAUUGUAGAAGACCGGUUUAUGGGUACUGCCCCCGGUUUACCGUAAUUAGAUCAACACCGUUUCAUCCGGCAUGUUCUUGAACCGGAUCACUUAUUUCUUGUAGAUCUCAUCAUGGCCAAACAAGUGUACGAGUGCAACUGGGUUCCCUCCCGUGUCACAGAAUCACAGCUGAACGAUCUAGUCCUGAUUGGCGCUUUGGAUAGCAAAGACACGAUUCAUUGGAGGGUUCCUGGAGAUGAAUGUCCUCCUACACCCCAGGAAGGAGAGGUCGUGGUCUUCACAGAUCAUAUGGCCCGGGGCUUCAAACCGCCCGGCUCCAAAUUUUAUCGGGAUGUAUUAGCCAACUUUCAACUCCGCCCACAGGAUAUUGGCCCCAACUCCGUCACCAAUCUAUGCCAUUUUCAAGUACUUUCUGAGGCAUACCUUCAAGAGGAGCCUUCCGUCGAGUUAUUUAGAGAUCUCUUUCAUCUGAACCGCCGUACUGAAUUCACUGACGGCCCUAAUACCGAACUGGGCGGUAUGGCCAUUCAGAAGAGGAAAGAAAUCACCUACCCUCACGUCAAACUCCAUACGCACCCCAAAGAAUGGAACGUGAGUUGGUUUUAUUGCAAGGAUACAUCUCCUGACAAUGAAAAUCCCUUGCCUGGCUUCCGUCCAGAACGGCUCAGCAACACUCACCCUUUUCCACAAAGGCUAAGCGCCAAGGAGAGAAUUAAAUAUGCUCCUCAACUGUCCAAGCUCCGGGCCUUCAUGGCCAAUGGUUUAACAGGAAUAGACCUUGCACGCUGCUGGAUAUCAUGGAGCAUUUUGCAUCUAAGCCGGCGCCCAAAUUUGAUGUGUGAGUAUACUGAUAGUGUCGAUGACCCACUCCGACACACUAAAAUCCAACUCCCUGAGGACGAAGUCACAGAAUCUGUGAAAAAGAUGCUGAAUGAACCGGAGCACCUCUGUGCUCAAACCGGUCUGCUUCCUUACUGCACCACCAACAAACCACCAGCGGUAAUAUUUCAAUUGCUCUAUUGUUGAACCGGUUUACUAUUUUAUACGUUCAACGUUUUAAUUGCUGCUGAUCCAGGGUGAUAAUCCAUUCUGGAGUAAGAAACUUCCUCAAGACAAAACGGAGAAGGCAGGACGGCCAACCCGGCCCAAGACCAAGGUUAUCAAGAAACCAGCUCAUAAGAGAAAAACCACCGCUUCUUCUGACCCAGCUAUUGAUGAUGAUGUGGGUAAUCCGGAUCUUGAGGUAGAACUUGAUUCACUUGGCUUACUUUUUACACGCCUUAUUGAUGAUGAUGUUUGUCAGGAUGAUGCUUAAGCCAGCAAUGCGGUUUUCGUUGAGGUAACCAUUCUCUCUUCCGAUUCAGAAAUCUUGCCUUUGCCAAAAUUUCGCCGGGCAAACCGGAAAGUUAAAUUUUCUCAUCCUCUUGCUUAUCUGGAUUCCCAAUUUCUUAUGAAGACCCAGCAACACGAAGCUCACCGCACAACCCAGCACAGUGGCCAGGUAGUUACCUCUGCCGGUUUACCAAACAGUCCGGUUCGAAAACGCCGCUUCGAGGUCUCCGACAUUUUUAUUGAUUUAAAUCGUAAAGCGGGUUUCUUCCGUCAACCUCUUAAUCCAUCCGACUCCGAUUAUCAGGUCACUUCUCAUUCAUCAUCUGGUGAAUCAUCGGCCACCCAGCUACCACCUUUGAAAACAGUUGCUGGGUAAGUUAAACCGAACAUAUGCUUCCAGUAUACUGCGCAAUGGUUUACACUUUUCCUUAAUUUUUAUCUUUUCUUCCAGGGCUAAACCGAAACCAAGCAAGAAGGCCCGCCUGGAUAAAGCGGCUGAAGAGAAUGUGGCCCCAGAACAUGACCAAGCGCCGGAUCGUGAAAUGUUUACUUCUGAAGAUAUCCCCAAUGAUCCUCCUCUGCAAGACAACAUUAUCCCUGAAGAAGGUCUUAUUAAUACUCCAGCGUCUGCUGAUCCACCUGCCAGCUCUGUCCAGAUGGAGAAAUCCCACACUCCUGCUGACAAAACGGCCGCACCAACCCAAACCGGCGAGUCAAAAGAUGAUGAUGUUGUGAUUACUGGUGUAGGCCGCUCUGAACCCGGGAAUCCUGCCACCCUUACCAGGCAUAUCAUGAAAGAGGAUUCUUCCCCUUUGAACAAAGGAAAAUGGGAUGUUGAAUUAGAAACAUAUGCCGCUCUGAAUGCUCAAGAUCUUCACUCUGGCUAUUUGAACCGGCUUUACACUAGCCGUGACUGUGAAGCUGGCCUGGUCAAAAUGAUGAGGGAUAAAUUUGAGGUAAAUUCCUUCUUUCUUUUCUGCCAUUGCAUUCAUCCCGGUAGCCCCCAAGGGCCGGUUUGUGACCUUGGUAAAACCGGGACUUGAUCCUGAAUAUAUAUUUUGUGAAAUCCGUCGGCAUAACCCUCGAGGGCCGGUUUAGCAUAAGCAAACCGGGGCUAAAAAAUAAAAAGUUGUCCUUAGAACAUAACUUGAUCAAAUAGCCAUUAGCCCCCAAGUGCCAAGUUGAAUACUUGUAUUGAGCUUGGGACUUUGUAAUCGAGCAAUAUACAAAAAAUUGAAGGUACAUUAGCCCCCAAGUAUCAGGCAUAUAACUUUGUUAUGUGGUUGAUACUUCAAUUUCUUGGCUCGCCUGUGUAAAGCUUUAAAAUGCCAUCUGUAUGCAGGCUGAGAUUAAAAUCAAGGAGGCCCUGAAGACCCAGCAAGCUGAAACAGAUAAAACCAAGCAAGAAUUAACCAGCGCUUUGAACACUGCGGAACGACUGAAAGAAAGUUUCAAGAAAGAGCGGGCUGACUGGGCCACUGAGAAGGCCGGUUUAACCAAAAGAGCAGAACAUGCUGAAGCGGCCCUUAAACCGGUGGUGGAUGAACUGACGGCCGUACAGCGACAAAUACACUCUAUGACUGCUGCAAUCUUUGGUAAACUCCUUGUAACUUCUGUGAUGAAUUUGAAUCUUCUGUAUCGUAAGUCCGGUUUGAGACCAUUCCAAUCUUGUUGUAGGCACACGUAUUGGGCACUUAGGAAAUGAUGUGCGGAAGAAAUUGAAAGCUGCCUACACCUUGGUAGAACAAUUGUAUACCGGAGCCCAACGGAUCAUCACCACAGCUUCUCACAACAACCCGGCGCCCUCUUUAAUCCAGGACACUCUUAGCAAGUUGUCAAUGCUUCCAGCCCGGAUUGAGGAGCUGAAAAAAUCUGCUGCCCGAACCGGAGCCAUCAAUGCCUUAAUCCGGGCAAAGGCAUGGGUGCCCGACUUUGAUCCUGUGGAAGCAGCUCAAGGCUAUCCCAGUCUGAAAGAAGAUGGCUCUGAGUUCAACGAAGAAGAUUUAAGGGCCAUAAACCGUGCAGUGUGCCCUCUUGCUUGCCAGUUAGCUGAAGAGGCAGAUUUGACGCAUUAUCAAGCGCAAUAUAACAAUCAAAACAAGCGAGUGCCUGCCCCAACUGUUGAAGCGGAGAAUCUGAUUCCUCCAAUCCGUAAGCACACUUACGCCCCUGAUAUUGAACCGUCUUCCCUGAUCCAUGAAGAAGCUGUUUUCCAAGCUUUAAUGGGAAUCGACUGGACCACUGUUGAUUUCCAGCCAAUGGGUAGAGACGAGGAAGCUGAAGCGGCGGAGGAUGAGGAGCAGGCUUGAACCGGAAGCCGGUUUGAAGAACUAUCUGCAACAUCCUUCCACAAAAACAAUGAUUUUGUUUGGGCACCAUGCUGCCUUGUAAUAGGAUAGUUAAAACUUCUGCCUGGAAUAUGCCUUCGUGCAUAAGUACUGAAGCUUUUGCUUGAAAAACUUUAAUUCCUAUUUCCUGCAAUCAGAAAAAUUUGAACUGCCAUGUUUGGGUAUAAAGCUAGCUUAUCCAAGCCUGAAGCGGUGGUUUUUAUAAACCAUUACCGUCAAAAAGGGAGAAAGUAGCCCCCGUACAAACCGUACUGACUUAAUACGAGCCCCUGGUUACUCCAUGAUGUGAACAGGGAAAAGGUAAACCGGGCAGAAUCCUCCGGAUUAGAAGGGGGACCAAAAAUCAUUGGCUGACCCGGAAGAAAUAUACUUGUUGACAUAAAAAAUCCAACAAAAAACGAACAAACCAUGGAAGCAAAAGUAAUAAAGAAAACCAUUUGCAAAAAUAUGCUAUACUGAGCUAUUCAGAUGGCAUUACCAUGGUCGGACAGGAUCAAGGCCCCCAAUAGGAGUGACAAUGAUGCAGGUCAGCCAGGUCCCCAAAUGACUCGUGGCAUAUAUGCCAGAUCAAGAGGCGUAGCAAUGGCUCCGGCCCGACCAUGCUCCCAAAUGAUUUUGUGGCCUUAGGCCGACCAAGAGGCGUGACUGGUUCAGACUUGACCAAGUCCCCAAAUGAUCUGGUGGCUGUCGCCUAUCAAAGGGUGUUCGUUGGUUCGGACACGACCAAGGCCCCUAGUGAUAUAUAAAAACAAAUAUCAAGGGGUAAACCAGAGGCCGCUUUUAAACAGAACCACUCCGUGUAACCUCGCAUGAUGAGACAGACAGAGACCCCGCUUCAGCUGAGGCUCCGGUUUAAUAUAUCAAAGAUAAUAUAUACAUUGUCAUGAUAUGUACAUAGAUAGAGCCAAUGGCUCAAGUAUAGUAAGGCCGAAGAUGAGCUAUAUUCCACGGUCUGCCGGUCUCCUCCUCUGAUGUAUGUGAGUCUUGAUGCUCUCGAAUAUCAAUCAGAUAAUACGACCCGUUGUGCAGAUUCUUGCUGACUACAAAAGGUCCCUCCCAAGGUGGGGAUAACUUGUGCAUAUCCGUUUGAUCUUGGAUGAAUCGAAGCACCAAAUCUCCUUGAAAAGUUCUGGUUCUAACCCGGCAACUGUGAUAGCGACGAAGAUCUUGUUGGUAAAUCGCUGAACGGGCAGCCGCUAUAUCACGCUCCUCGUCCAAUAGGUCCAAAGCAUCUUGUCGUGCUGUCUCAUUGUCUGCUUCAACAUAAGCUGCCACCCGAGGCGAAUCGUGCCGGAUGUCACUAGGGAGAACUGCCUCUGCUCCAUAGACCAUGAAAAAUGGCGUGUAUCCUGUGGACCGGUUUGGUGUAGUAUUGAUACUCCAUAAUACAGAUGGCAGCUCUUCAACCCAACAUCCUGGUGUUCUUUGCAAUGGGACCAAAAGCCGGGGUUUGAUGCCUCGCAAGAUUUCCUGAUUAGCUCGUUCUGCUUGUCCAUUGGACUGGGGGUGUGCCACUGAUGACACAUUAAGUCGGAUGUGCUCACGUUCACAGAACUCCUUCAUAGCGCCCUUGGAUAAAUUGGUACCAUUAUCAGUAAUGAUACUGUGUGGAAAACCAAACCGGAAAAUCACCUUCUUGAUGAACUGUACCGCUGUUGCUGCAUCACACUUGCUGACAGGCUCUGCUUCAACCCACUUGGUAAAUUUAUCAACUGCCACCAAAAGGUGAGUUUUCUUAUCCUUGGAUCUUUUAAAAGGUCCAACCAUGUCUAGCCCCCAAGUUGCAAACGGCCAUGUUAUUGGGAUCAUCCUCAAUUCCUGAGCCGGCACAUGAGCACGCCUUGAAAAUUUCUGACAUCCAUCACACCGUUUAACCAAGUCCUCCGCGUCAGCAUGCGCUGUCAACCAGUAGAACCCGUGACGAAACGCCUUUGCAACCAGGGACUUUGAACCGGCAUGGUGCCCACAAUCCCCUUCAUGGAUUUCUCUUAAGAUUUCACAGCCUUCCUCAGGAGAAACACAACGUUGAAAUGCCCCUGAUACACUGCAAUGAUGUAAUUCACCAUUGACAAUCGUCAUAGACUUGGAUCGCCGGACUAUCUGCCUGGCCAGAAUCUCAUCCUCUGGCAACUCCCCCCUUGUCAUGUACGCAAGAUAAGGAACUGUCCAAUCCGGAAUAACACGUAGAGCUGCCACCAAUUGGGACUCCGGAUCAGGAAUAACCAAAUUCGCUUCACCUGGGAGCUUGACUGACGGGUUGUGCAACACAUCCAAAAAGACGUUAGGCGGAACCGGUUUACGCUGAGAGCCCAACCGGCUUAAAGCAUCCGCCGCUUCAUUCUUCCGACGGUCCACAUGAUCCACUUGAUAACCCUUGAAACAACCUGCAAUAUUAUCCACUUCCCGACGGUAUGCAGCCAUGAGCGGGUCUUUAGAGUCCCAAGUGCCGGACACCUGUUGAGCCACUAGGUCCAAGUCACCAAAACACUUAACCCGGCUUAAAUUCAUCUCUUUAGCCAUCCGCAGACCAUGGAGCAAGGCUUCAUACUCAGCUGCAUUAUUAGUACAAGGGAACAUUAAGCGGAGAACAUAACAGAACUUAUCACCUCGUGGGGAAGUUAAUACGACUCCAGCCCCCGAGCCUUCCAAUUGCCUGGAUCCGUCAAAAUGAAUGGUCCAAUAUGUGUGAUCCGGCUUCUCCUCUGGUGCCUGUAAUUCCGUACAAUCAUUGAUAAAAUCAACAAGUGCUUGAGACUUCACUGCCGUCCGAGGCACGUACUUCAGUCCGUGCGGCCCCAGCUCUAUAGCCCACUUGGCAAUUCGGCCAGUCGCCUCCCGAUUCUGUAUAAUAUCACCCAAGGGAGCUGAACUGACCACUGUGAUGGGGUGCCCUUGAAAAUACUGCUUCAACUUCUGACUGGCCAUAAAAACACCAUAGACCAGCUUCUGCCAAUGCGGAUACCUUUGCUUGGAUUCAAUCAACACCUCACUGAUAUAAUAAACCGGCCGCUGAACCGGAUAUUCCUUGCCUGCUUCUUUGCGCUCCACCACAAUAGCCACGCUAACUGCCCGAGCAUUAGCCGCUACGUAUAAUAAUAGUGGCUCCUUGUCGACCGGAGCUGCAAGAACAGGCGGAUUGGCUAACUGCCGCUUCAGGUCCUCAAAUGCCUCGUCAGCAGCUGGACUCCAGAUGAAAUUGUCUGUCUUCCUCAGCAUUUGGUACAAAGGGAUAGCCUUCUCCCCGAGGCGGCUGAUAAACCGGCUCAGCGCAGCGAUUCGGCCCGCCAAACGCUGAACAUCAUUGAUACACUCCGGUUUAGCUAGAGAUGUAAUAGCCGUAAUCUUCUCCGGAUUAGCCUCAAUUCCUCUGUUAGACACCAAGAAACCCAGUAACUUGCCUGCUGGAACACCAAAAACACACUUGGCCGGAUUAAGCAUCAUCUUGUAAGCUCGCAAGUUGUCAAAGGUCUCCUUCAAAUCAUCCACCAGUGUCUCCUUCUGCCUUGAUUUUACUACAAUAUCAUCCACAUAUGCGUGCACAUUGCGGCCGAUCUGCUCAUACAGGCAAUUCUGUACACACCGUUGAUAGGUGGCUUGGGCACUCUUGAGCCUGAAGGGCAUAGAUACAUAGCAGAAGGCUCCAAAGGGAGUGAUGAAUGCUGUUUUCUCCUGGUCUUUAACCGCCAUCUUGAUCUGAUGAUAUCCAGAGUAUGCAUCCAAAAAACUCAAACGCUCACAACCCGCCGUGGCAUCAAUGAUCUGAUCAAUACGGGGGAGGGCAAAAGGGUCUGCCGGACAGGCUUUGUUAAGAUCUGUGUAAUCCACACACAUCCGCCAAGUGCCAUUUUUCUUAAGAACCAGCACCGGAUUAGCAAGCCACUCUGGAUGGAACACCUCAAUAAUAAACCCAGCUGCUAAAAGCCUGGCCACUUCCUCUCCAAUGGCCUUGCGUCUUUCUUCGUUAAACAGGCGGAGGAACUGUUUCACCGGUUUAUACUUAGGAUCCACAUUAAGAGUGUGCUCAGCGAGUUCCCUCAGUACACCUGGCAUGUCAGACGGCUUCCAUGCAAAAAUGUCCCGAUUCUCACGGAUGAACUCGAUGAGCGCGCUUUCCUAUUUGGGAUCUAGGUUGGCACUGAUAGUGAACUGCUUGGAUGAAUCGCCGGGCACGAAGUCAACAAGCUUGGUCUCAGCUGCCGAUUUGAACUUUAGAUCUGAAUCAUGCUCUGUAGUUGGCUUCUUUAAAGGGGUCAUAUCUGCCGGAUCAACAUUGUCCUUAUAAUACUUCAACUCCUCUGUGGCACAGACUGGCUCUGCAUAAGCCGCAUCACCUUCCUCACAUUCCAAAGCGACCCUACGGCUCCCAUGAACCGUUAUGGUCCCCUUGUAACCCGGCAUCUUGAGCUGCAAGUAGAUAUAACAAGGCCGCGCCAUGAACUUGGCGUAAGCCGGCCGGCCAAACAAGGCGUGAUACGGGCUCCGGAUCUUCACCACCUCAAAUGUUAGUUUUUCCGACCGGGAGUCGUGCUCGUCCCCAAAGGCCACAUCUAGGGCUAUCUUACCAAUAGGAUAUGCAGAUUUUCCUGGCACAACACCAUGGAAUACCGUAUUCGACGGUCUGAGAUCCUUGUCUGUUAGUCCCAUGCGCCGGAAUAUCUCAUAGUAUAGUAUGUUAAUACUGCUUCCUCCAUCCAUGAGUACCUUGGUGAAUUUAUAACCCCCCACCUGAGGGUCUACCACUAAUGCAAGCUGGCCCGGGUUAUCAACCCGGGGCGGGUGAUCCUCUCUGCUCCACACGAUAGGCUGCUCCGACCAGCGCAAGUAACGUGGUAAGGCCGGUUCAACAGAAUUCACCGCUUGCUUGUGGAGUUUUCGGUCGCGCUUACCCAAACUAGUUGUGAAAACAUGAUAUUGCCCAUUGUUCAACUGUUUUGGCUGGCUCUGAUAACCCGACUGCUGCUGCUGCUGCUGGCUGUUCUGAUUAUUCUGGUGAUUGUGACCGCCCUGAUUGCGACCUGAACCGGAAGCUCCAUCGUGAUCCGGCCCGUGGAAACCGGAUCCUGAACCGCCACCUGAUCCGUGAUCAUACUGGAAAGCAUCAGAGUUCUUGAACUCCUGCAUGAUAUAACAAUCUUUCCAAAGAUGGUUAGCCGGCGCCUCCUUCAUCCCGUGCUUCGGGCAAGGCUGAUUCAACAAAUAGUUCAAACGGCUUGCGUUAGGAUUGGGAGCCCCGUUACGAUUUGCCGCUUUACCUCUGCGCCGCUGCCCCCUGUCCUGUGUGUUAGUGUUGGCCACAAAGUCCACGCUGCCAUCCGCUUUGCGCUUGCCUCCGUUUCCAUGACCCGUUAGUUUGUUCUGCUGCUGUUUGGAGUUGCUAUUCUUCUUUCCCUUCCCUGCUUCAUCAUCAUUAAGCUCGGGAUCCUUGGUACUGUCCGAAUCGGCAUACUUCACUAAAGCAGCCAUGAGGGCUCCCAUGUCAUUACAGAACCGCUUCAUGCAUCCCAAUUUCAAUUUUAGAGGCUCAAACCGGCAGUUGCCUUCCAGAGUUAAGACCGCAGAGUCAGCAUUAAUCCUGUCAGAUGAGUGCAAAAUUUCCGAAAUGCGGCGCACCCAAUGGGUCGUUGAUUCUCCUUCUUCCUGAACACAAGCCGCCAGGUCUACUAUGGACUUGGGCUGCUUACAUGUAUCCUUGAAAUUCUGUAUAAACCGGGCCCGCAACUGGGCCUAUGAGCUGAUAGAAUUGGGCGGUAGGCCCUUUAACCAAGUACGAGCCGUGCCCUCAAGCAUCAUGGUGAAAUAUUUUGCACAUGCGGCCUCAUCCACGUCCAACAUUUCCAUGGCCAUCUCAUAACUCUCUAUCCAUGCUUCAGGGGGUAAAUCAGCGGUAUAAUUCGGCACCUUGCAUGGACCCUUGAAAUCUUUGGGCAGGCGCACAUUACGUAAAGCAGGGACCAAGCAAGGCACUCCCAGAGCGGAUGUGAUUCCUGGCCCGGCAGAACGAACUGGUGUGAGUUGGCCCGCAUUAUCCUGUGCUGCUAACUCGGCCUCCCUUUGCACCCGGGCCCGGUUCACCGCAUCCCGAGUAUCAACAACACCACCUGCCGGGUCAUCACCACGGGCCGCUUCACGGCCUUGCGCAUUGCUUGAUAUGGCUGGUUCAUCCAUGCCCCUGCUAUAGCUCCGGCUCGGACGGGGCGUAGAAUGAACCCGAUCACGGCUGUAUGAGUAUGCCUCCUGCUGAAUCAGCGCGGUCCGGAGAAGCUCCUUAACCCGGCGCGUCUCUAUUGCUUGCGGAGAAUCCCCUUCGACUGGGAUGGCCUCUAACCGUGCGGCGGCCGCAACAAGGUUGUCCAUAGGAUUCGAAUAAUGACCCGGGGGCGUCUGGACCGGCGGAGGGACCACAAUAUUUUGGCGAGGGGGUUCCAUCAGGCGAGGUUGGACCGCUGCUCCUGGCCCUGGCGCCUCAAUCCGGUUUGUCUCCUGAUACCGCGGUGGAUUACUGGGUCCAGCUCCUGGAGUGUGAAAGAGAUUUCGGGGGUCAAACCCUAACGGCAGGCGUGAUCUGUGCUUCCGCUUCAAAACCUCCUGUGAUGCAUUCUGGUCAAGCAUGAGUUUAUAGGCCUGUGCGUCCAAAGCGGCCUGCUCUGCAGCCAUCCGGUCUUUUUCCGCUGCCAGAUCCGCUUUGGCUUGCACGAUCUGCUCUCUCACCUUCGCAAUUUCUGCAUUAUGAGCCUCUUGAUCUGCCGGAUCAUCCUCUGUCAUAAGCGCGGCUAGUGCGUCCAACAGAUCAGACAGAACUUGAACCGGCGGGCGCACAAGGCCUCCUGCCCCUGCUGCCGCUGCCGCUGCGGAUCCGGAGAGCAUUGCUGUGGCAGUCGAAGAAUAAUUCGCCGCCUGGGUGCCAGCCAUGAAUAUUCCAACCCGGUUGAUCUGGCCUGGGGGGUCCGGAAUACUGUCGCCAUCGGAACAACCCCUCACCUGAUCGUCUUGCAUCCGGUAUAGCGACUCGGUCUCUCCGGUCGAAGACUCGUCGCCGGAAUAGACGACGGUCUCGUUACCGUGCUCUGAUUCGUCCUCACGCUCUCCUCCAUAGAUGACUCCAACGAAGGCACGCUUCAUGGCCGGUUUAACCUGGGUAGAUCUCGCACGCUGAGCCGUCUCGACGGGGUCGGUGUAGAUGUCCGGCUCAGGCCGAGGCUCACCGAUCUUGCCGAUGAAGACGUGUAUGCUGCCAAAGGGGACCCGGUACCCAUACUCGAUCGAAUCGGCCUCGGGACCCCAUCCUGCAUCAUCGAUGUAGAUCCUGCCCCGACGACUCUUGGUCAUCUGGCCCACUACAUAGCCUUCGAGUCCCUUGAGCUUGCCCUCCAAGAUCGUCAAACUAUCAUGCGAUAGCCCCACGAUGGGCGCCAACUGUCGCGGAUUUGUCACGGCAGGUGUCCUAGCGAAAGGACUUAGUCGUGGAGCCAUCGCUACGAGUUUACUUGAAGGGGUUAAAGCGGACACAAAGACACGAGGGUUUUAUACUAGUUCGGCCCCUUCGAUGAAGGUAACAGCCUACGUCUAGUUGUGGUGGAAUUGAUAUGAUCUCGAUGGCUAGGGAGCAAACAAGCUUUGCCUAGGCUCGAGUUGUUGUUGUCUCCCUUGAACCGCCGCCGGGUCGUCCCCUUAUAUACACGGGUGACGCCCGUCGGUCCAUAGAGUCCCAGCCGGUUCAUAUUCGUAUUCCGGUCGGUAUCUCUCUAUUCCUAACUUACAAUACAAGUUAUACAUCAGGUCGGUUUACAGCUACAGAUUCUAAACCGACUAUAGGCCUUGGGCCUUCACCUGCUUAUACCACUAUGAAGUUAACCCGGCUCAAGUAGGCCGGUUUACGCCCAGUGGUAAUAUCCCCAACACCAUGUAUACAUAACUACGCACUUAAGAUACCAUGGGCAGCGGCGGAAGCACAAUACGGAUAAGUCUGCAAACAUUCCGGUAAUGUUUUUUAUAUACUUUCCUUUUUUCAAUACUUCUUAAAAGCAGGUAGCACAACGGAGAAACACUUACGACCGACUCCAUCGGAGUUCGGAUCCAUACACUCACCUACGGGGCUACUUCCUUCAAGGAUUCCCCUCGCUGAGGACAGGCGGCGCAGACGUGUGACAUGAGGUCCAAAAUAAAUUUUUGUAGACUGCACUCUUUUUUAGAGCCUGUAACAUGCCUUUUUCCUCUGCCUUUGACCCAGGGCAUAUCAAAUGACCCAGGUCGUGGCAAUUAUAUUAAUUAAUCAUCGGCAUAUCGCUCAGGUCCCAGUUCUCACUAUCCAAAUUAAUUACCCGCAUCUUUCCCGCAAAUGAACACGCCUCCCAUGGUUGUUUCACAAACAUACCCCGGCUUAACUUGCCAGGGGCUCGGUACGGGAACAAAUGAGUUGCCAACAAAGUCCGAAUAGCUUUUACAGCGUACUUCAGCGUCGCGAGUUUGGCCUUAUAUGCAUCGGCUCCGAAUCAUGUCUUGGGUCAAUAGUUGGGUUGCCCGGCUCCUAUGCUUGCUAUCCUACGUUCCGUUCUAUCGGCUAGGGUAGUAAAGGGAGAACUACUGCGAUUGUGCUACCGGUUCACCUGGUGACGCACCUCAGUAGAGAAAACCAAAAACUGACUGUCAUGAUGUGGCGAGAGCUGGUCAACCACUCGAUGACUUAUCGGAGUCUCUAGCGAUUCCUCCAUGUCACAUGAAGGACCUCUUUUCCGAUCAAUUAUGUAAACGCAUCGUAUGAAUAAGCCGCAUACAUACUAGGGGCUAUGUCGUAGACCCACCAUAAAACUCCUAUGUCUAAGUGAAAGUGUUAACGCCCUAUAGUUUGGUUGCCUGGUUCACCGCAUUGACACCUCCUUUACGGACCAAGACGUUGGGUCAAGAGUGAUGAUAUGCUUUUUUGAACACCCCUGUACUUCCUACAAGGGGGCUGAAGCCGACGACUGGAAACCUUUUAGAUUAUAUUAAAAUGGCCGCACAGGAGGAACACUAUAAAAUUGUCUCGUACAAUUCUUAUACACCUCACUCGAACAUUAUGUCUUUCGAACAUUGACCCUCUAUCAAGUGGGCGGCUACUAGGACGUCUUCAAAAUAAUGCUCUGGUUCAUGGCGGUCCCUGCGCUUGGGCGGACUCUUCACCGCAACGUCGAUGGCCUUCAUAUUCCUCCAGAAUGUCUUGACUCAGGCAAAAGCCAUCUAUGCACCCUCGAUGCACACCAAUCGUUUCACAACAUCGAUACACGGCACUGCGUCAACAAGCUGCUGCACCAAGCCAAAGUAACUAUUCGGAAUAGGCUCAGUUGGCCAUAACCAGAUUAUGACAUUCUUCAUAGCAGCACCGGAUAUCCUAUGAAGCUCAGCCCAAUGGGACAUCUGCUCAUUCAGCAACAGGGGGCGCUUCGAGGCACCGAACUGUGACCAGAAAAGCUUCUCCGUUGCGUACCCCUCUCGCGCCUGAUAAUACUGCGCUGCAUCGGAAGAACUCUUCGGCAAGUCUAAAAACUCGUCCGGAGAACUCCACAAUUGGUUCAAUGAGCAUAGUUCGGAUCGCCGAACUUAGCCUGUAGUAAAAAUGGCUUACCAGCCGCAAUCUCCCCAGCUUGCCGGAUCUCCUCAUGGGCCGCUCUGGAUUCAGACCGUGCUUCUCUUGCUUCUUGUAAAGCCUUUUUAAUUUCAGCCAUUUUGGCUUCUUUCUCCUUCUCAAGGAGCUCACAGCGGCUGGCAACACUUUUUAGCUCAAGCGCCAUCAUGAACAUCCUCUCCUCGUCUUGACGCCGAGCAGCCCGUUCGGCUUCUAACUCAGCCGAUGCCUUCUCGGCAGCCGCAUUACUACGCCGGGCCUGCUCCUUGGACCGGGCUAGCUCCACCCGAAGAAUUUCAACGGUGGUAGCACCAUCUGCAGCCAGGUACAGCUUUUCGCGUCAUGCUUAUAUCACAAAAAUGUACGUACAGAGACUGGUUCGAAUACAUACCUUGCGACUCAUCAAGGCGCAUAUUGAUCAAUGUAAUAUCAUCCUCGGCCACAUCAAGCUUCCGUUGCAGUUCGGCAAUAUCCGCAGUUCGGGAAGUAGCCAGGGGGGAAGCAGCCUGUGUUCAAAGUUAAUCAGUUUAGUCCUCCAAAAUUUCUUCUUGAUCCUCCGUUCGCCUCCCAUAGGAAGCCAACCGGAGUCUCAGGGGCUACUGUCUAUACACAGGUGUAUUUUCUGAAUAAAACACAAUUGCACAUGUUACAUUACAAACCUCGAAGCCUCUCAGCAGGCUCGCAAAGGCCUCAUUCAAUCCGCUCUUCGUAGAUAGGACCUUUUCAACCACUGUACCCAUCAAGUACGAUGUUCCUCUGAAAUAGACGCCUGCCGCAGCAUGUUCAUCAAGAUAUCCGGCGCCUCUGGGUCUCCGGAGGCAGCCGCAGGAGUAUGGUCACCCUUUGAAGGGAUCCGUUUAUUUGUAUCCGGCUGCAUUCCGGACUGUUCGGGGUCUUCAUUGUUGUUUCUCGGACCCUGGGCCGCCGAAGUAUCACCUUCGUAUAGCAUCUUCGUCAUCCCUUGCACCACUUGUUGGUCGGGGGAGACCCUCCGCGACGACACUCAAGAUCGUCUGCCCUAUUGGACGGAGAGGACGGUGGGGGCGUCUCACUUUCCAUCAUCUCCGGGAGAAGGUCCCCCGAGGAAGAGGAUUGUUGAAGGGGACUGCGCGCUGGGCUGCAAAAAAUGUAUAUUUUAGGCAUCAUACGAAAAGAACGGCAUAUGUUUAGAACAGCCUUGUUCACUUACGAUUGGGUCGGAGGCUCGUCCUCGUCAUGAGGCUGCGCUUCGACGUCCUCCAGGACCGGGGCGCCUCCCAGAGACAUCUUGCCUCGCUUAGGAGCCUGCUUCUCCCAAUCUUCGGAGGCGGCCCUCUUCUUCUUGGGAGGGAAAGAGAUAGUGCCCCCUAUGUUGGGGAACGUAGCAGAAAUUCAAAAUUUUCCUACGUGUCACCAAGAUCUAUCUAUGGAGAGACCAGCAACGAGUAGAAAGAGAAUGCAUCUACAUACCCUUGUAGAUCGCUAAGCGGAAGCGUUCAAGAGAACGGGGUUGAAGGAGUCAUACUCGUCGUGAUCCAAAUCACCGGAGAUCCUAGUGCCGAACGGACGGCACCUCCGCGUUCAACACACGUACAGCCCGGUGACGUCUCCCAUGCCUUGAUCCAGCAAGGAGAGAGGGAGAGGUUGAGGAAGACUCCGUCCAGCCGCAGCACAAUGGCGUGGUGGUGGUGGAGUAGCGUGGCAAUCCUGCAGGGCUUCGCCAAGCACCGCGAGAGAGGAGGAGCACUUGGGAGAGGGAGGGCUGCGCCAGGGGCAAGGGUGAAGCUCCCAUGCGCCUCCCCACUAUAUAUAGGGGUGGAGGGGGCUGGUUUCUUGCCCUCCAAGUCCAUUGGGGCGUUGGCAAAGGUGGGAGGAAAGAAAUCCCAUCAUUUCCUUCCCCACCGAUUGCUAUCCCCCCUUUUUAGGGAUCUUGAUCUUAUCCCUUUGGGAUAUGAUCUUAUUCCUUCUAAGGGGGGAUCUUGGUGCGCCUUGACCAGGGGUGUGGGGCCUUUCCCCCACUACCCACGUUCAUGUGGGUCCCCCCAUGCAGGUGGGCCCCACUCCGGAACCUUCUAGAACCUUCUCGGUACAAUACCGAAAAAUCCCGAACAUUUUCCAGUGGCCAAAAUAGGACUUCCCAUAUAUAAAUCUUUACCUCCGGACCAUUCCGGAACUCCUCGUGACGUCCGGGAUCUCAUCCGGGACUCCGAACAACAUUCGGUAACCACAUACAAACUUCCUUAUAACCCUAGCGUCAUCGAACCUUAAGUGUGUAGACCCUACGGGUUCGGGAGACAUGUAGACAUGACCGAGACGUUCUCCGGUCAAUAACCAACAGCGGGAUCUGGAUACCCAUGAUGGCUCCCACAUGUUCCACGAUGAUCUCAUCGGAUGAACCACGAUGUCAAGGACUUAAUCAAUCCCGUAUUCAAUUCCCUUUGUCUAUCGGUAUGUUACUUGCCCGAGAUUCGAUCGUCGGUAUCCAAUACCUUGUUCAAUCUCGUUACCGGCAAGUCACUUUACUCGUUCCGUAACACAUCAUCCCGUGAUCAACUCCUUGGUCACAUUGCGCAUAUGAUGAUGUCCUACCGAGUGGGCCCAGAGAUACCUCUCCGUUUACACGGAGUGACAAAUCCCAGUCUCGAUCCGCAUAAAACAAUAGAUACUUUCGGAGAUACCUGUAGUGCACCUUUAUAGUCACCCAGUUACGUUAUGACGUUUGAUACACCCAAAGCACUCCUACGGUAUCCAGGAGUUACACGCUCUCAUGGUCGAAGGAAGAGAUACUUGACAUUGGCAAAGCUCUAGCAAAUGAACUACACGAUCUUUUGUGCUAGUCUUAGGAUUGGGUCUUGUCCAUCACAUCAUUCUCCUAAUGAUGUGAUCCCGUUAUCAACGACAUCCAAUGUCCAUAGCCAGGAAACCAUGACUAUCUGUUGAUCACAAUGAGCUAGUCAACUAGAGGCUCACUAGGGACAUAUUGUGGUCUAUGUAUUCACACGUGUAUUACGAUUUCCGGAUAAUACAGUUAUAGCAUGAAUAAAAGACAAUUAUCAUGAACAAGGAAAUAUAAUAAUAAUACUUUUAUUAUUGCCUCUAGGGCAUAUUUCCAACAAACACUUCUUGAAAUUUUGUAAGGGAUCAUCUUAUUUACUACCGUCGUCCUAAGUAAACAAGAUGCAUAAUCAUAAUAAACAUCACAUGCAAUCAAAUAGUGACAUGAUAUGGCCAAUAUCAUUUUGCUCCUUUUGAUCUUCAUCUUCGGGGCUCCAUGAUCAUCAUCGUCACCGGCAUGACACCAUGAUCUCCAUCAUCAUGAUCUCCAUCAUCGUGUCUUCAUGAAGUUGUCACGCCAACGACUACUUCUACUUCUAUGGCUAACGCGUUUAGCAAUAAAGUAAAGUAAGUUACAUGGCGUUCUUCAAUGACACGCAGGUCAUACAAUAAAUUAAGACAACUCCUAUGGCUCCUGCCGGUUGUCAUACUCAUCGACAUGCAAGUCGUGAAUCCUAUUACAAGAACAUGAUCAAUCUCAUACAUCACAUAUAUCAUUCAUCACAUCCUUUUGGCCAUAUCACAUCACAUAGCAUACCCUGCAAAAACAAGUUAGACGUCCUCUAAUUGUUGUUUGCAUGUUUUAUGUGGCUGCUAUGGGUUUCUAGCAAGAACGUUUCUUACCUACGCAAAACCACAACGUGAUAUGCCAAUUGCUAUUUACCCUUCAUAAGGACCCUUUUCAUCGAAUCCGUUCCGACUAAAGUGGGAGAGACUGGCACCCGCUAGCCACCUUAUGCACCAAGUGCAUGUCAAUCGGUGGAACCUGUCUCACGUAAGAGUACGUGUAAGGUCGGUCCAGGCCGCUUCAUCCCACAAUACCGUCGAAACAAGAUUGGACUAGUAACGGUAAGCAUAUUGAACAACAUCAACGCCCACAACUACUUUGUGUUCUACUCGUGCAAAGAAUCUACGCAAUAGACCUAGCUCAUGAUGCCACUGUUGGGGAACGUAGCAGAAAUUCAAAAUUUUCCUACGUGUCACCAAGAUCUAUCUAUGGAGAAACCAGCAACGAGGGGAAGGAGAGUGCAUCUACAUACCCUUGUAGAUCGCUAAGCGGAAGCGUUCAAGAGAACGGGGUUGAAGGAGUCGUACUCGUCGUGAUCCAAAUCACCGGAGAUCCUAGUGCCGAACGGACGGCACCUCCGCGUUCAACACACGUACAGUCCGGUGACGUCUCCCACGCCUUGAUCAAGCAAGGAGAGAGGGAGAGGUUGGGGAAGACUCCGUCCAGCAGCAGCACGACGGCGUGGUGGUGGUGGAGGAGCGUGGCAAUCCUGCAGGGCUUCGCCAAGCACCACGGGAGAGGAGAACUUGUGAGAGGGGGAGGGCUGCGCCAGAACUUCGUGUAUAGCUCCCAUGCGCCUCCCCACUAUAUAUAGGGGUGGAGGGGCUGGUUUCUUGCCCUCCAAGUCCAUUGGGGCGUUGGCCAAGGUGGGAGGAAAGAAAUCUCAUUAUUUCCUUCCCCACCGAUUGUUAUCCCCCCUUUUUAGGGAUCUUGAUCUUAUCCCUUCGGGAUAUGAUCUUAUUCCUUCUAAGGGGGGAUCUUGGUGCGCCUUGACCAGGGGUGUGGGGCCUUUCCCCCACUACCCACGUCCAUGUGGGUCCCCCCAUGCAGGUGGGCCCCACUCCGGAACCUUCUAGAACCUUCCCGGUACAAUACCGAAAAAUCCCGAACAUUUUCCGGUGGCCAAAAUAGGACUUCCCAUAUAUAAAUCUUUACCUCCGGACCAUUUCGGAACUCCUCGUGACGUCCGGGAUCUCAUCCGGGACUCCGAACAACAUUCGGUAACCACAUACAAACUUCCUUUAUAACCCUAGCGUCAUCGAACCUUAAGUGUGUAGACCCUACGGGUUCGGGAGACAUGUAGACAUGACCGAGACGUUCUCCGGUCAAUAACCAACAGCGGGAUCUGGAUAUCCAUGAUGGCUCCCACAUGUUCCACGAUGAUCUCAUCGGAUGAACCACGAUGUCAAGGACUUAAUCAAUCCCGUAUUCAAUUCCCUUUGUCUAUCGGUAUGUUACUUGCCCGAGAUUCGAUCGUCGGUAUCCAAUACCUUGUUCAAUCUCGUUACCGGCAAGUCACUUUACUCGUUCCGUAACACAUCAUCCCGUGAUCAACUCCUUGGUCACAUUGCGCAUAUGAUGAUGUCCUACCGAGUGGGCCCAGAGAUACCUCUCCGUUUACACGGAGUGACGAAUCCCAGUCUCGAUCCGCAUAAAACAAUAGAUACUUUCGGAGAUACCUGUAGUGCACCUUUAUAGUCACCCAGUUACGUUGUGACGUUUGAUACACCCAAAGCACUCCUACGGUAUCCAGGAGUUACACGCUCUCAUGGUCGAAGGAAGAGAUACUUGACAUUGGCAAAGCUCUAGCAAAUGAACUACACGAUCUUUUGUGCUAGUCUUAGGAUUGGGUCUUGUCCAUCACAUCAUUCUCCUAAUGAUGUGAUCCCGUUAUCAACGACAUCCAAUGUCCAUAGCCAGGAAACCAUGACUAUCUGUUGAUCACAACGAGCUAGUCAACUAGAGGCUCACUAGGGACAUAUUGUGGUCUAUGUAUUCACACGUGUAUUACGAUUUCCGGAUAAUACAGUUAUAGCAUGAAUAAAAGACAAUUAUCAUGAACAAGGAAAUAUAAUAAUAAUACUUUUAUUAUUGCCUCUAGGGCAUAUUUCCAACACCCUAUACUUUUGUCUUCGGAUGAGGGGAUUUUUAUUCCUCCGGACAUAAAGUCCGAGGUCCCUUGGGAAUAGAGGCCGUCCUUGGUCCUCUUGUCCUCCGCCUCGUCCUCCUUCUCCGGCAUCUGGUAUGGUGUUGGGGCCAGCAUCCUUGUUAGGACAGGAUUUGCUGGACCCUCGGGCAGAGGGGCCGAACACAUAAUCAGUUCCGCCUUCUUUAUCCAGCCCUGGAAAAAGAUAGCCUGCUCAGUAUCAUAUUACUGUAUGCAUGGCCGCAAAGUAUUUGAGAGCCAACUGCUUACCGGGGUAUCCGAACAAUUACAGUUGAGGCCAGCAUCCUCAGCGGUAUUUGGCCAAUGUUUCCGCUUCCCAAAAAAUAACUUCCACAUCCCUUAAUGUGUGGCGCCAAAAAAGUGUUGGAGGGUCUGUAGUCCUUCUGGAUUAAACUCCCACAUGCGGCGAGGCCUGCGCUGGCAGGGCAGGGUUCGGCGGACUAACAUCACUUGAAUCACACUAACGAGAUCGAUAUCUCUCUAGAGGAGGGUUCAGAUGCGGCUUUGUAAGGUCCGCACUUCAUCAACCGAUCCCCAGUCCAGCCCCUUGUUAACCCAUGAUGCAAGUUGUGAUGGUGGGACAGGACGGAAAGUGGGUGCAGCAACCCACUUAGUACUGCGGGGCUCUGUAAUGUAAAACCACUCCCGCUGCCGGCAAUUGGAAGUCUCGGUAUUUUGGCCAGGUAGUGUUGGCGAGUUGGCUGAUUGUAGCACUGCCGCACUCCACUUGCUCCCCGUCGGCUAUCUUCGGUUUCACACUAAAGGUCUUGAGCCAUAAGCUGAAGUGUGGGGGGAUUCGAAGGAAGGCCCCACAUGUAAUGAUAAAUGCCAAGACGUGGAGAAUCGAGUCCGGGGCCAGGUCAUGAAAAUCCAGUCCGUAAUAAAACAUUAGCCCCCGGACGAAGGGGCGAAGCGCAAACCCUAACCCCCGGAGGAAGUGGGGGAUGAACACAACCCUCUCGCCGGAUCUGGGGGUCGGAAUAACUUGUCCUUGAGCAAGAAGCCGGUGGUGGAUCUCUGCAGUCAGAUAUCUGGCUGCCGGAAGCUUUGCAAUAUCCUCCUCUAUAACAGAGGAAGCCACCCAUCGGCCUUGGGAGCUGGAUCCGGACAUGAUGGGAAGGCUGAAAGCAAUGGAGUGGAACCUUGGGUGUUGGAACUCGCGGUUGGGAAGGCUGAGGAGAAGUUUGGCGUAAAAAAGACGACCCUUGGUUCCUUUAUAAAGGCCUCCAGUAUUGAACGCCUCCUCCUAAAGCCUAAGAACCAGCCUAUUCCUAAGGAAUCUUGCCCACAGGAUGCUUAGGUUGCCCACACCCGUAUUGAUGAAAAUCCCGCAAUAAGGGGGCACGAUCCCAGCUUCGACCAGACGUGCCAGUAAAAACCACACCCCCAAAACGUGGAACGGCAGGACAGGAAACGGUUCGAAAUAAAGGCGGGGAGGGCGUGACGUCACAUUAUUAAAGAUGUCAGUAGAUCGGAUUCAUGAAAAUGCUAUACCCUCUACAGUUGUGUGUUACAGAUCCGGACACGUUUGUUUCAUCCGAAGACUAUUUUUUGGAGUUCGGAAGGAGGAACCCGCCUUGCAAUGCCGAAGACAGCACUACGCGCCGGAUACCUUGUCAUUGAAGCCAGGUUCAGGGGCUACUGAGGGAGUCCUGGACUAAGGGGUCCUCGGGUGUCUGACCUGUUAUCUAUGGGCCUGACUGAUGGGAUGUGAAGACGUGAAGACCGAAGACUACACCCGUGUCCGGAUAGAACUCUCCUUGGCGUGGAAGGCAAGCUUGGCGAACAACUAUGAAGAUUCCAUCUUAUAUAACCGACUCUAUGUAACCCUAGAUCCCCUCGGUGUCUAUAUAAACCGGAGGGUUUAGUCCGAAUAGGAUGGACUCAAUACCUUAGUCAUACAGGCUAGACUUCUAGGGUUUAACCAUUACAAUCUCGUGGUAGAUCAAAUCUUGUAAUACUCGUAUUCAUCAAUAUCAAUCAAGCAGGACAUAGGGUAUUACCUCCAUUAAGAGGGCCCGAACCUGGGUAAAACUUCGUGUCCCCUGUCUCCUGUUACUGUCAACCUUAGACGCACAGUUUGGGACCUCCUACCCCAGAUCUGCCGGUUUUGACACCGACAACGGGGUGUCCAGAAACUUACUGAAGAACCUCACAGGACACCGCGACAAAGCACAACUCAACGAGGAAUAAUGAGGGGUGUAUGAAUAUAGGAGGCAUUCCCACACGACAUUUAUUCCACAAUGACCCCUCUUGAUAGUGCGGUUUUUCCUAUGACUCAAAACGAACCAAACGAAAACCUUCAAGUCGUCGGUAAACCACCCUUUAACCUUUUUGAAUUUGGGGGGGGGGUCAUAUAACUCAAAUGGAAUCUUCAUGGAACCAAUAUCCUGAGAUAGACUUUAGCAACCGAUAUUAGUUCCUCUAAUCAUAUUGUCAUCACACCAAAAUAUACUAAAGUGCCACAUGCACUUUCAACCAUACUUGGGCCUAAGGGAAGGCAUUGUGGAGUAAUAAGUAGAUGAUGAGUUGCUAGAGUGACAGAAGCUUAAACCCUAGUUUAUGUGUUAUUCUGUAAGGGGCGAUUUGGAUUCAUAUGUUUCAUGCUAUGGUUAGAUUUAUCUUAAUUUCUCUUUCGUAGUUGCGGAUGCUUGUGAGAGGGGGUAAUCAUAAGUGGGGGGGCUCCUUCAAGUAAGAACAUCACCCAAGCACCGGUCCACCAACAUAUCAAAUUAUCAAAGUAGCGAACAUGAAUCAAAUAAACAUGAUGAAAGUAACUAGAUGAAUUCUCAUGUGUCCUCAAGAACGUUUUGCUUAUUAUAAGAGAACGUUUCUGCAUGUCCUUUGCUCUAAGAAGUAUUGGGCUACCUUGUUGCACCUUUGUUACCGAUGCUACUUGUUACUUGUUACGAAUUACUUUGUUAUCAAACUAUCUGUUACCAGUAAUUUCAGUGCUUGCGGAGAAUACCUUACUGAAAACUGCUUGUCAUUUUCUUCUGCUCCUCGUUGGGUUCGACACUCUUAUUUAUCGAAAGGACUACGAUUAAUCCCCUAUACUUGCAGGUCAUCAAUCAGGUCCCUCGAUGAGAGAGAGAGAGAAAGAGAGAGAGAGAGUGACAGAUAGGAGGGAACCGUGGGCCAACAUAGACAACACUCGGUCAUGGUUUCAUUGAUCUAGAAAAUUUGUGCAGCCCACAUCCCACGCAUUAUAGUGAGGCACCAAAAUACGAUACCAUUGAUCUAGUAAUUACAAAACUUUGCCACCACAUACAUAUAUAACAAACAUUAAUGAAAACAAAAACCAACAAACUAAAUAACAUAUAUUUGGUCGUGCUAAUGUGACCUUGUGUUGGAUUCUCGUGAUCUGCCACAGUGGGGGUGGGUGGGGAGUCUAGGGAUGGAAGGGGGUGAUUUUUGGAACCUCACAUAGUCAGUGAAUAAUCAGGGAAAAGCUAAAGUAAUUUAGUACAUUAAUGAUAUUUUUAUUACUAACAAUAACUAAUCUAGGUGAGAACACGGUGGAUUUCUGUAUAUGAGGAAAAAGGUAUUGAUGCACUAGAUGAGAAUACAUACAAGACACUACAAGUACAACCAUCAGAAGGCACCGAGUGACUUCCUCUGAGUCAACUUUUGUAGAAUUGAACUAUCGCUUUAGUUUUGAUGCUAUGAUUUAAGUAAAGUGCUCAAAUUCCACAUCACUCGAAUGAGCAUAAAACAACAACCGCCUAAGUGUUUAGGCAUAGUUUGUGUACUACAUGGUGUUUGUUGUAUUGUUGAAAUUCGAAUAAAAAGAAUCGUAUAAAUUGUUUCAUGUUGAGACUGGAUAAAAUUAUUUUGAUGCUGUAAAUCUUAAAGGGCGCAUAAUUUUGACUUUCGAUGUAACAUAAACCAUAAGAUAAACCUUGUUUGUCGUCAUGAUAUCUAUCAUAAUGCAUGCAAAAGACAAAACAAAAGUCGUACUCUAGCUCAAAGCCAGAUGUAUGACGUGUCGGAUAAGUGCUCCAGCGAAAAAGUAAGACACAAGUUGACAUCGAUCUAUCGAGCCACAUUACACCCCUAUAUUAAAAGUGCUCCCGGAAAAGAUUCGAGUGAACACAACCGAAUCUCCGCUACGGUUUCCUUGAUCUAAGCCAGUCAUAGCGACGGUUUCCGUAGCCCACAUAUCUGUCAAAAGUCCACUGUUGUUUCCUUGAUCUAGGCCAGUGCAUACGGACGGUUUCCGCGGCCCACAAAUCAGUCAAAAAUCCAUUGCCGUUUCCUUGAUCUAGGCCAGUCAAGCGCAUUGACGGUUUUCGCAGCCCUGUCGAUAGUCCGUUGCCGUUUCCUUGACCUAGGUCAGUCAUGCGUAGCGACGGCUUGUGCAGCCUCCAUAUCUCGCAUGAUAAUGUGGCGCCGCGAAACUUUCAUGCCACCAGAUAUAUAUAUAGAUUAAUGAAAAUAAAACAACUCGACUAAAUAAAAAGCAAUGUGGUUCGUAAUAAUGUGUUUCCUUAUUAUGUUUAACACCAAAUAUCACACAUUGGUUGGUUUAUUUUUCUAUCUAAAAAAGGUUGAUUUUUCACUCUACCUCAGCAAAACCAAAUCAUCAUGCGUAUAGCAUAGAGAGUAGCCAUUGCCCGAUAUGGAACAACAGAGACCGGCUGGUUUUACCGCACACAUACAUGUGGGCGGCGCGAGGGUAACUCUAACAAACUGCCUUAAUCGCUAUAAUUCGAUAUGAUAAAUCACGAGAUCAAAAGCAUCCAGGUGUCUAGAGUGGGGAGUGAACGGCUCACGUGCCCGGCCUCUUCCUCUUUUUAUGCCCCUGCCCCUUCCCCGUUCCUCCUCCCCAAAACCCCUCUCACCACCAUCCAGUCUCUCUCCAAAUCUUGGGACACAAAGGCCACCGUACUGAAAUAUAGAUUGACAGAGGCGGGGCGGGAACCAGCGAGCGAGCGAGCUCGGCACGGACCCGGUCCGACGAGAUGCUCAAGGAGCGGCAGAGGAGCAUUGUGCUGCGCCGGAAGUUCAGCGUGGCGUCCAUUCCGUCGGCGGCGAGGCGGGUGCGCCAGGUGAGCGGCGACGACAAGAAGGCACGCGCGCGGCCGAUCUUUUUUGUGUCGGCUAACACCGUGAAGAUGAGCGCUGGAGGCGGCGCCACCCCCUAUCUAAAGAGGGACACCUUUGCCGGGCUGUGGAUGGCGGCAGCGUUCCUGGCGGCCUGCGGCAUCUGCCGCAAACCCCUCGCCGGCGAAGACGCCUACAUUUACAGGUACCAGCGUCACUAUUUUCCCAUUCUUUGUUCGUCGUAGCAUGGAAAAUGUACGGUAGAAUCCUCGUGUUUCGGCCUCGCGUUUCAGUUUUGUCCUUUUCGGUAGCUUCCUUGUGAUUUUUGGCUAGGAUCCGAUCAAUCUCUCAUGAUGCUUUCCGAUGUGAAUUCCGCGCCGUUCGUUCGUUUUCCACGUCAAGGUUGCACCUGAUCCAAUCUUCUUAUGAUGUUGCUGGCAGCUUACGAUUUUGUGUUGGUUUCGUGAUUCCCCUCGUGUUUUAUGUGAGGGGCAUAUUCAGGAUCCGUUUUCACUUAUGAAAAGAUGGUAAUAAUUUGUUACCCUCCAUGUUUAAUUUAGACAAGUACUCCGUACUAAUUUGACUAACCUCGUUCACUUGAAAGGUAAUGCUGAUUCAAUGCUAGCUAGUAUAAGCAACCCAUCGAUGCUACUAGUGUAAGCGGUUCAUAGCAUGAAUCUUAUGCUCUCCCGUAUUUUAGAGGAAUGUUCGAUGCAAACCUUUUCCUUCAGCAUGUUACUUGUUGCCAUGCUAAUUAAUUAUUAGUACUCCGUAUGUAUUUGCUAAUGAGAUAUGUACUAUUGAUCCAUGGGGUGCUCAUAGCUUUAUAAUUUGUCCUCUUUUAAUUUUUGUCCCUGAAUCAUGUAUGAAAUGUCCUGUCUCAAAAUAUAAAUUGGGAUGCAUUUAUUUUUUUUCUUAGGCGGUGGAUUAAGAUUUAGUUUUCUAGUCAAGAGUCUAACACACCAUAUAUACUCCCCGAAGCUACGCAAUAAAUAAAGAACAUUAAUCGCCAAAUCAUAUGAGUUGUUGUUUGAUUAUCAUACCAUAAACUUGUCACUCGUUACCAUCUAACGCUCGUAGAGUAUUUCUUUAAUUGUCACAAUCUGUCAUCAACGAGAGAGAAAUAAAUAAAUACUAAAAAAAUGCAUGGUUUCUUCACUGCAAUAAAAGAAGGUUAAAUUUAUUCGUUGGAGAUGUCUGUGACAUGAUGGUCCAAUUUCUUUGUCUGUCUUCUACAGGGGCAAAUUUGCAUUCUGCAGUGAUGAGUGCAGGGAGCUGUACAUCAAAUGGAAAAGGGUGUGCUCCCUCAGAUCCCGCAAGAAGGCCCCGUCGAACAAGUCCGGCAGCAGCAAGGGCUCGUGCGGCGGGCCAGGCUAACCCAAUAGAUUAUACUAGCUCCUAGUGAUGUGCCAUACAUAUAUGUGGUACAAUCUUCACCAUAUUUAAACCGUCCGUCCAUGUAUACAAGCUACCAGUCUCGAAUAAUGGUCGGUUACAUCCCAUUUCAUGAAUCAGUUUCACCGCUUUGUUGCUGAUAUGGAGCUGCGAGAUAUUUACCUCCAUAGUCGACAGUGUACUCGGUCUAACGAGCAUGACAACCCACCCUCAUGCACAAUGACCAUGUUCUCUGUAUGCCAAGUUGAGAGGUCUUGCACCCAUACUGUAGGCUGUGCAGCUUGGCCUCGACCACCCUAAUCAUUGCCUCCCUCCUUGUGGAUUGUGUGCCCUG
rnacentral:lncRNA from 1 species